rnacentral:lncRNA from 1 species
UCUGCUGCUACCUGCCCGAGCAAUAAAUGGUGAAUGGAGAGAGAUGACAGUGAAUAAAUAGAGAGCAGAUGUAGGCCUGCACCUACUGUUCACAUGUCAGAUCUGACGUGAAGAAAAGAGAAAAUAGCUACAUACGUGAUCUUUAAUCAAAGAAUACAGCUGAAAUACUCCUGCUUUUACCAAUCUUAGAGCAGCUCGAUGAUCUAGAUAUAGAGAGUAGAUGAGCUCAGGAGCCAGACUGAAUAUCCCAUAUGACAUGCUAGAUCCAAAACCAACGAGGGCCACUCGACGGACGGCGAGAUGCCUCAUUAGUUGGAUGGUAGGGCGCAGUGAUGUGACGGAUGUUAAGAUGAAAAAUCUGUUAGGUAAUCCAAACAUAAGUUAGUUUUAACUAGGUACUAAGUUUUACUCCUUCCGUUUCGAAAUACUUGACUUCCAUUUGUUUAAAAAUGGAUGUACCUAUAUACUAAAACAUGUCUAGAUACAUCUAUAUUUUGACAAAUGGAAGUCAUGUAUUUUGGAACGGAGGGAGUAGUUAUGUGCAAGCUAGCAGGCUGCGUGAGACACAGGGUUGAGUCCGGUUAGGAUUAGUAAUGUGAUCAGCGUUGCCGGUAAUUUGAUUAGGAAAGCAAAGUUGAUCUAGGUGUCAUACGAGUACUAGUCCUAAUUGGGGUAGGUAUGCUAGGUUAGCUUUGGUUGCGUCCGUGUAGGACUAAUGGUCAUACACGUACGUACAGGUCAGGUUGUCUGGUCGGUCAUGGCCUCGUGUGUAUAUAUACACAGCCCCGGCCGUGCGUUUUGUAACCGUGAAGAGAAAAAGAAGAGAAAUAAAAAGAGGAAGAAAAGAGGGCACGACAAGGGUCCCUUGGCUAUCAGUUUUUGUGUGCGUGUGUUCGUCGAAUCUUAUGUGGUCGAUUCUGAGGACAAAUUUCCAACAAAAUCAAUCCAAAUAAUAAAUGUCACACGUGUGGCACGAAGCACUCCGGUCCUGAUAUUUUUAGAAAAAGAGGCGCUUGCCCGGUCUUAGAUUGAGGCCCUUACAAAUGGCAUAAGUCUGUUACUAGGCAGCAUACAAAAAUGAUACAUGCCUGAAGCCGGAUACGGGCGACGCAGCGCCAAAGGGCUAUCGAGGUAGCUAGGGGCAGAGUUGUGCCGGUGGUGUCCCCUCUGUCGGCCGCCGCAUCUCAGUGCACCUUGCUCGCACCUUUGAGGCGAGCUCCUGCACAUGUCCUUUGUCCUGACAUUUUCCACAACUAAAUUUGUCAUUCAAAAAGAAAAAACAAACCCAAUGACCAUAUUAUUAGCUCGUUGCAUAUGCUUCACUCAUCGUGGUCAACUGCUCGAGGGCAAGGAUUAGUAAUUAUUAGCAGCAACCAUGCGCGGAUGAUGCAUCUCGCCGUCGUGGCUGAUAUUUCUAUUCCACGCAUGCAUCAAUGAUGAAUCUNNNNNNNNNNNNNNNNNNNNNNNNNNNNNNNNNNNNNNNNNNNNNNNNNNNNNNNNNNNNNNNNNNNNNNNNNNNNNNNNNNNNNNNNNNNNNNNNNNNNNNNNNNNNNNNNNNNNNNNNNNNNNNNNNNNNNNNNNNNNNNNNNNNNNNNNNNNNNNNNNNNNNNNNNNNNNNNNNNNNNNNNNNNNNNNNNNNNNNNNNNNNNNNNNNNNNNNNNNNNNNNNNNNNNNNNNNNNNNNNNNNNNNNNNNNNNNNNNNNNNNNNNNNNNNNNNNNNNNNNNNNNNNNNNNNNNNNNNNNNNNNGGGGUUGAUGGAGUCGUACUCGUCGUGAUCCAAAUCACCGAUGAUCCUAGCGCCGAACGGACGGCACCUCCGCGUUCAACACACGUACGGUUGGGAGAGACGUCUCCUCCUUCUUGAUCCAGCAAGGGGGAAGGAGAGGUUGAUGGAGAUCCAGCAGCACGACGGCGUGGUGGUGGAAGCAGCGGGGAUCUCGGCAGGGCUUCGCCAAGCUCAGCGGGAGGGAGAGGUGUUACGGGGGGAGAGGGAGGCGCCAGGGGCUUGGGUGCGCAGCCCUCCCUCCCCCCCCUUUAUAUAGGGGCCAGGGGGGGUGCCGGCCCCUGGAGAUCCCAUCUCAAGGGGGGGGCAAGGGGGGACUUGCCCCCCAAGUCAGGUGGGGCGCCCCCCACCCCCAGGGUUUCCAACCCUAGGCGCAGGGGGAGGCCCAUGGGGGGCGCACCAGCCCACCAGGGGCUGGUUCCCUUCCCACUUCAGCCCAUGGGGCCCUCCGGGAUAGGUGGCCCCACCCGGAGGACCCCCGGGACCCUUCCGGUGGUCCCGAUACAAUACCGGUGACCCCCGAAACUUUCCCGGUGGCCGAAACUGGACUUCCUAUAUAUAAAUCUUUACCUCCGGACCAUUCUAGAACUCCUCGUGAUGUCUGGGAUCUCAUCCGGGACUACGAACAACUUUCGGGUUACCGCAUACUAAUAUCUUUACAACCCUAGCGUCACCGAACCUUAAGUGUGUAGACCCUACGGGUUCGGGAGACACGCAGACAUGACCGAGACGACUCUCCGGUCAAUAACCAACAGCGGGAUCUGGAUACCCAUGUUGGCUCCCACAUGCUCCUCGAUGAUCUCAUCGGAUGAACCACGAUGUCAAGGAUUCAAGUAAUCCCGUAUACAAUUCCCUUUGUCAAUCGGCACGUUACUUGCCCGAGAUUCGAUCGUCGGUAUCCCAAUACCUCGUUCAAUCUCGUUACCGGCAAGUCACUUUACUCGUUCCGUAAUGCAUGAUCCCGUGACUAACUACUUAGUCACAUUGAGCUCAUUAUGAUGAUGCAUUACCGAGUGGGCCCAGAGAUACCUCUCCGUCAUACGGAGUGACAAAGCCCAGUCUCGAUCUGUGCCAACCCAAUAGACACUUUCGGAGAUACCUGUAGUGCACCUUUAUGGCCACCCAGUUACGUUGUGACAUUUGGUAUACCCAAAGCAUUCUACGGUAUCCGGGAGUUGCACGAUCUCAUGGUCUAAGGAAAUGAUACUUGACAUUAGAAAAGGUUUAGCAAACGAAUUACACGAUCUAGUGCUAUGCUUAGGAUUGGGUCUUGUCCAUCACAUCAUUCUCCUAAUGAUGUGAUCCCGUUAUCAAUGACAUCCAAUGUCCAUGGUCAGGAAACCGUAACCAUCUAUUGAUCAACGAGCUAGUCAACUAGAGGCUCACUAGGGCCAUGUUAUGGUCUAUGUGUUCACACAUGUAUUAUGAUUUCCGGAUAACACAAUUAUAGCAUGAACAAUAGACAAUUACCAUGAACAAGGAAAUAUAAUAAUAACCAUUUUAUUAUUGCCUCUAGGGCAUAUUUCCAACAGUCUCCCACUUGCACUAGAGUCAAUAAUCUAGUUACAUUGUGAUGAAUCGUACACCCAUAGAGUUCUGCUGUUGAUCAUGUUUUGCCCGUGGAAGAGGUUUAGUCAACGGAUCCGCGACAUUCAAAUCCGUAUGUACUUUACAAAUAUCUAUGUCUCCAUUUUAAACAUUUUCACGAAUGGAGUUGAAGCGACGCUUGAUGUGCCUGGUCUUUUUGUGAAACCUGGGCUCCUUGGCAAGGGCAAUAGCUCCAGUGUUGUCACAGAAGAGAGUCAUCGGCCCCGAUGCAUUGGGAAUAACUCCUAGGUCGGCAAUGAACUCCUUCAUCCAGAUUGCUUCAUGUGCUGCCUCCGAGGCUGCCAUGUACUCCGCUUCACAUGUAGAUCCCACCACGACGCUUUGCUUGCAACUGCACCAGCUGACUGCCCCACCAUUCAAAAUGUACACGUAUCCGGUUUGUGACUUAGAGUCAUCCAGAUCAUGUCGAAGCUAGCAUCGACGUAACCCUUUACGACGAGCUCUUCGUCACCUCCAUAAACGAGAAACUUAUCCUUAGUCCUUUUCAGGUACUUCAGGAUGUUCUUGACCGCUGUCCAGUGUUCCAUGCCGGGAUUACUUUGGUAUCUUCCUACCAAACUCACGGCAAGGUUUACAUCAGAUCUGGUACACAGCAUGGCAUACAUAAUAGACCCUAUGGCCGAGGCAUAGGGGACGACACUCAUCUUUUCUCUAUCUUCUGCCGUGGUCGGGCAUUGAGCCGUGCUCAAUCUCACACCUUGCAAUACAGGCAAGAACCCCUUCUUGGACUGAUCCAUAUUGAACUUCUUCAAUAUCUUGUCAAGGUAUGUGCUUUGUGAAAGACCUAUGAGGCGUCUCGAUCUAUCUCUAUAGGUCUUGAUGCCUAAUAUGUAAGCAGCUUUUCCAAGGUCCUUCAUUGAAAAACACUUAUUCAGGUAGGCCUUUAUACUUUCCAAGAAUUCUAUAUCAUUUCCCAUCAAUAGUAUGUCAUCCACAGAGCUCCCACUCACUUUCUUGUAAACACAGGCUUCUCCAUAAGUCUGUGUAAACCCAAACGCUUUGAUCAUCUCAUCAAAGCAAAUGUUCCAACUCCGAGAUGCCUGCACCAGCCCAUAGAUUGAGCGCUGGAGCUUGCAUACUUUGUUAGCAUUCUUAGGAUCGACAAAACCUUCCGGCUGCAUCAUAUACAAUUCUCCCUUAAGAAAGCCGUUAAGGAAUGCCGUUUUGAUGUCCAUCUGCCAUAUUUCAUAAUCGUAGAAUGCGACAAUUGCUAACAUGAUUCGGACGGACUUCAGCUUCGCUACGGGUGAGAAGGUCUCAUCGUAGUCAACUCCUUGAACUUGUCAAUAACCCUUAGCGACAAGUCGAGCUUUAUAGAUGGUAAAAUUUCCAUCCGCGUCCGUCUUCUUCUUAAAGAUCCAUUUAUUUUCUAUCGCUCGCCGAUCAUCGGGCAAGUCUGUCAAAGUCCACACUUUGUUUUCAUAGAUGGAUCCUAUCUCGGAUUGCAUGGCUUCAAGCCAUUUGUUGGAAUCUGGACCCGCCAUUGCUUCUUCAUAGUUCGAAGGUUCACCGUUGUCCAACAACAUGAUUUCCAAGACAGGGUUGCCGUACCACUCUGGUGCGGAACGUGUCCUUGUGGACCUACGAAGUUCAGUGGUAACUUGAUCAUGAUCGUCAUCAUUAACUUCCUCUCUAGUCGGUGCAGGCACCACAGAAACAUUUUCUUGUGCUGCGCUACUUUCUGGUUCGAGAGGGGUCAUCUCAUCAAGUUCCACUUUCCUCCCACUUCUUUCGAGCGAAACUCUUUCUCCAGAAAGGACCCGUUCUUGGCAACGAAGAUCUUACCUUCGGAUCUGAGGUAGAAGGUAUACCCAAUGGUUUCCUUAGGGUAUCCUAUGAAGACGCAUUUUUCCGACUUGGGUUCGAGCUUUUCAGGUUGAAGUUUCUUGACAUAAGCAUCGCAUCCCCAAACUUUAAGAAACGACAGCUUAGGUUUCUUUCCAAACCAUAAUUCAUACGGUGUCGUCUCAACGGAUUUCGACGGAGCCCUAUUUAAAGUGAAUGCGGCAGUCUCUAAAGCAUAACCUCAGAAUGAUAGCGGUAGAUCGGUAAGAGACAUCAUAGAUCGCACCAUAUCCAAUAGAGUGCGAUUACGACGUUUGGACACACCAUUACGCUGAGGUGAUCCAGGCGGCGUGAGUUGUGAAACAAUUCCACAUUUCCUUAAGUGUGUGCCAAAUUCGUGACUCAAAUAUUCCCCUCCACGAUCUGAUCGUAAGAACUUUAUUUUCCUGUCACGUUGAUUCUCAACCUCACUCUGAAAUUCCUUGAAAUUUUCAAAGGUCUCAGACUUGUGUUUCAUUAAGUAGACAUACCCAUAUCUACUCAAGUCAUCAGUGAGGGUGAGAACAUAAUGAUAGCCACCGCGAGCCUGAACGCUCAUUGGACCGCACACAUCAAUAUGUAUGAUUUCCAAUAAGCUGGUUGCUCGCUCCAUUGUUCCAGAGAACGGAGUCUUGGUCAUUUUGCCCAUGAGGCAUGGUUCGCACGUGUCAAAUGAUUCAUAAUCAAGAGACUCCAAAAGUCCAUCUGCAUGGAGUUUCUUCAUGCGUUUGACACCAAUGUGACCAAGGCGGCAGUGCCACAAGUAUGUGGGACUAUCAUUAUCAACCUUACAUUUCUUGGUAUUCACACUAUGAAUAUGUGUAACAUCACAUUCGAGAUUCAUUAAGAAUAAACCAUUGACCAGCGGUGCAUGACCAUAAAACAUAUCUCUCAUAUAAAUAGAACAACCAUUAUUCUCGGAUUUAAAUGAGUAGCCAUCUCGCAUUCAACGAGAUCCAGAUACAACGUUCAUGCUCAAAGCUGGCACUAAAUAACAAUUAUUGAGGUUUAAAACUAAUCCCGUAGGUAAAUGUAGAGGUAGCAUGCCGACGGUGAUCACAUCGACCUUGGAACCAUUCCCGACGCGCAUCGUCACCUCGUCCUUCGCCAGUCUCCGCUUAUUCCGUAGCUCCUGCUUUGAGUUACAAAUAUGAGCAACCGCACCGGUAUCAAAUACCCAGGAGCUACUACGAGCGCUGGUUAGGUACACAUCAAUAACAUGUAUAUCACAUAUAUCUUUGGUAUUGCCGGCCUUCUUAUCCGCUAAGUAUUUCGGGCAGUUCCGCUUCCAGUGACCGUUUUCCUUGCAAUAAAAGCACUCAGUCUCAGGCUUAGGUCCAUUCUUUGUCUUCUUCCCGGCAGCUUGCUUACCGGGCGCGGCAACUCCCUUGCCGUCUUUCUUGAAGUUCUUCUUACCCUUGCCUUUCUUAAACUUAGUGGUUUUAUUCAUCAUCAACACUUGAUGUUCCUUUUUGAUCUCCACCUCCGCUGAUUUCAGCAUUGAAUAUACCUCAGGAAUGGUCUUUUCCAUCCCCUGCAUAUUGAAGUUCAUCACAAAGCUCUUGUAGCUAGGUGGGAGCGACUGAAGGAUUCUGUCAACGACCGCGUCAUCCGGGAGAUUAACUCCCAGCUGAGACAAGCGGUUGUGCAACCCAGACAUUUUGAGUAUGUGUUCGCUGACGGAACUAUUCUCCUCCAUCUUACAACUGUAGAACUUGUCAGAGACUUCAUAUCUCUCGACCCGGGCAUGAGCUUGGAAAACCAUUUUCAGCUCUUGGAACAUCUCAUAUGCUCCGUGCUGCUCAAAAAGCUUUUGGAGCCCCGGUUCUAAGCUGUAAAGCAUGCCGCACUGAACCAGGGAGUAUUCAUCACUACGCGACUGCCAGGCGUUCAGAACGUCUUGAGUUGCUGGGAAAACAGGUGCAUCACCUAGCUGUGCUUCAAGGACAUAUGCUUUCUUGGCAGCUAUGAGGAUAAUCCUCAGGUUACGGACCCAGUCCGUGUAGUUGCUACCACGUCUUUCAGCUUGGUUUUCUCUAGGAACGCGUUGAAGUUGAGGGCAACAUUAGCGUGGGCCAUUUGAUCUACAAGACAUAUUGUAAAGAUUUUUUUAGACUAAGUUCAUGAUAAUAAAGUUCAUCUAAUCAAAUUAUUAACGAACUCCCACUCAGACAGACAUCCCUCUAGUCAUCUAAGUGAUACAUGAUCCGAGUCAACUAGGCCGUGUCCGAUCAUCACGUGAGACGGACUAGUCAUCAUCGGUGAACAUCUUCAUGUUGAUCGUAUCUGCUAUACGACUCAUGUUCGACCUUUCGGUCUCUUGUGUUCCGAGGCCAUGUCUGUACAUGCUAGGCUCGUCAAGUCAACCUAAGUGUAUUGCGUGUCUAAAUCUGGCUUACACCCGUUGUAUGCGAACGUUAGAACCUAUCACACCCGAUCAUCACGUGGUGCUUCGGAACAACGAACUUUCGCAACGGUGCACAGUUAGGGGGAACACUUUCUUGAAAUUUAGCGAGGGAUCAUCUUAUUUAUGCUACCGUCGUUCUAAGCAAAUAAGAUGUAAAACAUGAUAAACAUCACAUGCAAUCAAAUAGUGACAUGAUAUGGCCAAUAUCAUUUUGCUCCUUUUGAUCUCCAUCUUCGGGGCGCCAUGUUCAUCAUCGUCACCGGCAUGACACCAUGAUCUCCAUCAUCGUGUCUUCAUGAAGUUGUCUCGCCAAUUAUUACUUCUACUACUAUGGCUAACGGUUAGCAAUAAAGUAAAGUAAUUACAUGACGUUUCAGUUGACACGCAGGUCAUAAAUAAAUUAAGACAACUCCUAGGCUCCUGCCGGUUGUCAUACUCAUCGACAUGCAAGUCGUGAUUCCUAUUACAAGAACAUGAUCAAUCUCAUACAUCACAUAUAUCAUUCAUCACAUCCUUCUGGCCAUAUCACAUCACAUGACACUUGCUGCAAAAACAAGUUAUACGUCAUCUAAUUGUUGUUGCAAACUUUUACGUGGCUGCUAUAGGUUUCUAGCAAGAAUGAUUCUUACCUACGCCAAAACCACAACGUGAUAUGCCAAUUUCUAUUUACCCUUCAUAAGGACCUUUUCAUCGAAUCCGAUCUGACUAAAGUGGGAGAGACAGACACCCGCUAGCCACCUUAUGCAACUAGUGCAUGUCAGUCGGUGGAACCUGUCUCACGUAAGCGUAUGUGUAAGGUCGGUCCGGGCCGCUUCAUCCCACGAUGCCGCCGAAUCAAGAUAAGACUAGUAACGACAAGUAAAUUGACAAAAUCGACGCCCACAACAACUUGUGUUCUACUCGUGCAUAGAAACUACGCAUAGACCUAGCUCUGAUACCACUGUUGGAGAUCGUAGCAGAAAUUUAAAAUUUUCUACGCAUCACCAAGAUCAAUCUAUGGAGUUUACUAGCAACAAGAGGGAAGGAGUGCAACUACAUACCCUUGUAGAUCGCGAGCGGAAGCGUUCAAGAGAACGGGGUUGAUGGAGUCGUACUCGUCGUGAUCCAAAUCACCGAUGAUCCUAGCGCCGAACGGACGGCACCUCCGCGUUCAACACACGUACGGUUGGGAGAGACGUCUCCUCCUUCUUGAUCCGAAAGGGAGAAGGAGAGGUUGAUGGAGAUCCAGCAGCACGACGGCGUGGUGGUGGAAGCAGCGGGGAUCUCGGCAGGGCUUCGCCAAGCUCGGCGAGAGGGAGAGGUGUUACGGGGGGAGAGGGAGGCGCCAGGGGCUUGGGUGCGCGGCCCUCCCUCCCCCCUUUAUAUAGGGGACCUGGGGGGGCGCCGGCCCCUGGAGAUCCCAUCUCAAGGGGGGAGGCGGCCAAGGGGGGACUUGCCCCCCAAGUCAGGUGGGGCGCCCCCCACCCCCAGGGUUUCCAACCCUAGGCGCAGGGGGAGGCCCAUGGGGGGCACACCAGCCCACCAGGGGCUGGUUCCCUUCCCACUUCAGCCCAUGGGGCCCUCCGGGAUAGGUGGCCCCACCCGGUGGACCCCCGGGACCCUUCCGGUGGUCCCGGUACAAUACCGGUGACCCCCGAAACUUUCCCGGUGGCCAAAACUGGACUUCCUAUAUAUAAAUCUUUACCUCCGGACCAUUCCGGAACUCCUCGUGAUGUCCGGGAUCUCAUCCGGGACUCCGAACAACUUUCGGGUUACCGCAUACUAAUAUCUCUACAACCCUAGCGUCACCGAACCUUAAGUGUGUAGACCCUACGGGUUCGGGAGACACGCAGACAUGACCGAGACGACUCUCCGGUCAAUAACCAACAGCGGGAUCUGGAUACCCAUGUUGGCUCCCACAUGCUCCUCGAUGAUCUCAUCAGAUGAACCACCAUGUCAAGGAUUCAAGUAAUCCCGUAUACAAUUCCCUUUGUCAAUCGGCACGUUACUUGCCCGAGAUUCGAUCGUCGGUAUCCCAAUAUCUCGUUCAAUCUCGUUACCGGCAAGUCACUUUACUCGUUCCGUAAUGCAUGACCCCGUGACUAACUACUUAGUCACAUUUAGCUCAUUAUGAUGAUGCAUUACCGAGUGGGCCCAGAGAUACCUCUCCGUCAUACGGAGUGACAAACCCCAGUCUCGAUCUGUGCCAACUCAACAGACACUUUCGGAGAUACCUGUAGUGCACCUUUAUGGCCACCCAGUUACGUUGUGACGUUUGGUACACCCAAAGCAUUCCUACGGUAUCCGGGAGUUGCACGAUCUCAUGGUCUAAGGAAAUGAUACUUGACAUUAGAAAAGGUUUAGCAAACGAAUUACACGAUCUAGUGCUAUGCUUAGGAUUGGGUCUUGUCCAUCACAUCAUUCUCCUGAUGAUGUGAUCCCGUUAUCAAUGACAUCCAAUGUCCAUGGUCAGGAAACCGUAACCAUCUAUUGAUCAACGAGCUAGUUAACUAGAGGCUCACUAGGGACAUGUCACUAGUAGAAAACAUGUUAUGGUCUAUGUGUUCACACAUGUAUUACGAUUUCCGGAUAACACAAUUAUAGCAUGAACAAUAGACAAUUAUCAUGAACAAGGAAAUAUAAUAAUAACCAUUUUAUUAUUGCCUCUAGGGCAUAUUUCCAACAGGNNNNNNNNNNNNNNNNNNNNNNNNNNNNNNNNNNNNNNNNNNNNNNNNNNNNNNNNNNNNNNNNNNNNNNNNNNNNNNNNNNNNNNNNNNNNNNNNNNNNNNNNNNNNNNNNNNNNNNNNNNNNNNNNNNNNNNNNNNNNNNNNNNNNNNNNNNNNNNNNNNNNNNNNNNNNNNNNNNNNNNNNNNNNNNNNNNNNNNNNNNNNNNNNNNNNNNNNNNNNNNNNNNNNNNNNNNNNNNNNNNNNNNNNNNNNNNNNNNNNNNNNNNNNNNNNNNNNNNNNNNNNNNNNNNNNNNNNNNNNNNNNNNNNNNNNNNNNNNNNNNNNNNNNNNNNNNNNNNNNNNNNNNNNNNNNNNNNNNNNNNNNNNNNNNNNNNNNNNNNNNNNNNNNNNNNNNNNNNNNNNNNNNNNNNNNNNNNNNNNNNNNNNNNNNNNNNNNNNNNNNNNNNNNNNNNNNNNNNNNNNNNNNNNNNNNNNNNNNNNNNNNNNNNNNNNNNNNNNNNNNNNNNNNNNNNNNNNNNNNNNNNNNNNNNNNNNNNNNNNNNNNNNNNNNNNNNNNNNNNNNNNNNNNNNNNNUCGCUCUGGAAGGCAGGAUACGAUGGUUCGGCUGGUAGCGGAGGGCGGGUUGACGGUUGAGGACUGGAGGUGGCGAUACUGGCAAUGGAGAGGACAUGAAGAUCAACUAGCACAAAAAAAUUGGUUAACCUAUAAAUAGCCAGUCUCUCUUUUUCGAAAUUGUUACAUGAGCCAUCCAUGGUGCGUCAUUUUUAACGUUUAUUUAUGCUGUGUUUUUUACACUGGGAUAAAUAUUGAUAAGCUAAUUUGUCUAACCAAAAAUUGCAUUUUCUUAACUAUUCCUGCAUACCAAAUAAGCUUGCCGCAACAGAAUUUAUGCAUGGCCUUUUCUUGUGAAACCUGGCACUUUGUGUGUCAAGGAUGUUAGCUUCUUGUUCUUCUGUACGAAUUCUUUGCUUCCACGAAAUGCUAAUCAUUUUUUGGCAAGGACACAAAAUAAUAUAGUUUUAUUCUUUUUGGCAAGAACAUGAAAUGAUAAUCCGAAGAUAGACAAAACAAAAAAUCAAGGCGGAAAGCUACUUUCUAGCCAUAUACACUUCAAGGCUGCACAGAGAGGCGGCAACACAUGUAAAAUUCACGUGUCAACAUCAGGUGGAUUCUCUGACUCUUUUUCAGGAAAACAUUGAUUUUGAUGAUUCCAUUUACCGAACUCAUAUAUACAAGUGUGCAGCCCGAACUAAUGCUCACGACCCGUCGCUCAUGUCGCCUCCAGGGUGGCGGCUCAGGCGAACCCUAGCCGCCGCCCCUGACCCCCCUUCCCAUGCUUCCCCGCCGCCGCCGGAGGAGGUCGACGAGCAAAGCUCGCCCGAUGGACGGUGGGCUUUCCUCCUCCCCUGCGUGGGAGCCCCUGUCCAGUCACGACGGCGCCCUUGGGCACCCGGCAUGGCGGCGGAGAUGGAACGCUGUGGUGGCGGUGACGGCUGUGCCACCACGGCUGCGAGGGCAGCGUGGGGGUUGGCCAUGGUGGCUGAUGGCGGUAGGUCUAGGGUUCCCGACCCAGAUCUGUUCCCCUUCGGCGGUGGUCCUAAGGUUCUUCUAGUGUCAAGACUGUGUUUUGCCUGAUGCCGGCUCUCAUUGUUUUGGCCGUUGAUGAGUUCCGGAACGCUCAAUCGGAGAUCUUCAUUGGGUGCUUGACGCUUGUAGAUUGCUGGAUCAGAUGGGAUUCGGUCGUGUGCGCCCCAAAUUCAGCCCGUGUGGCUUCAGGAGGGCGUGACGUGAAGCUUCGUUGUCUGUUGACAUUAUGGGAUAUGUCUGUAUUUUGAUUUCCAUCGUGAAGACAGUGACGGAGAACAUCAUGGUGGCUGAGGUCUGAGGCCUAGUAAUGGCGGAUCGAGUCUUGAGGUGAUGAGGACUUUGCCUGGUAAUUCAUGACUCGUAGCGGCGACAUCGACAAGUGGGCGUGGCAGCACAUGAGGAUUACAUAGCCUUAGCUUCUAGUUGUAAACCCAAGGUCUGACCUUAAUUGGUUGUGCAUGUCAGUGGCCCUGUUGAAGGCAUUGUUUUGAGAGCGCGGAUUUUCUUCAGGAUGAAAACCUAAGAUCUAUGAUCGGGCGACGACGGCCCUUGUGCACUGUUUCCUUCUUGGAGGCGUCACUUUUGGAGAAUUUGGACUUCGGGUGUUGUCUUGGUGGUGGUUCAUGCCGCAGUUACAAGGAAUUGAUCACUGUAGCGGGAUUUUUUGUUUUUCCUUCUUUUUCCUUUUGCUUUUGGGUUGUGUGUGGGAUUUUUUGUUUUUUUCUUAUUUUUCCUUUUCCUUUUCCUUUUGCUUUUGUAGUCACAGAAACCGAGUGUAAUUGAUAUCUCCAUGAUAUUAAUAUAUUUCUUUUGUCAAAAAAUUGAAGUCAUACAUCAGGUAGAGUUCUAUAGCUUCAAGUCAUACCAUCAAUUUUUAGGGUCUGCUAGAGUGGGCAAGGAUACCAAUGAAUAUGCAGUUUUGGACGGUUCUUCCUUUGCCAGUAGGGCGAAAGGGAAUCUGAGCCAGGCAGCCAGCGCGUGGCCAAUCACCAAGGAGCAGCAGCGGCAUUGCAGCAUCUGUGGGUACCAUUACAUCUCCUUCACAAUCAUCAUAUUCUGCCAAAUUUCACAUGCCAGAUCCGAAGACCAACGUCCAACGAGAGCCACUCGAUGCACUGUGAGAUGGCUGGUUAGUUGGAUCGUAGAGCUCAGAGAUAUGCAGAUGGAAAUCCAUCAAACGGUGAUAUUAUUAGAUCGUGGCAUAUGCUUCACUCAUUUUACUUUCUAUGUGCACCCUUGUGUAUGAGCAUGAGUUUGGUUGAGAGACCCAUCUAGCUAAUUAACACCUCGCAUAUGGUCAUCAACCUAUGAAUUCAUGGUGGAACGUGACCGCCCACGAGGCACAUAUAUAAAGAACCUAGGAAGAUCUCCAACUGGCGGCUGAUCUAUGCGGUAUCAGGGAAAGUCCCCCAGGAAAAUGUGUGGAAUGGGCGGAUAGACGCAUUUUCACCGGGGUGCACCUCACUUACAUCGAUGAAUUUGAAAAAAGUGUUCAUGAACUUUUAAAAUGUUCACGAAACUGGAAACAUAUUUAUGAAUUAAAAAAAUGUUUCACAAAUCUGAAAAAAUGUUCACAUAUUUCAAUAAGGGACAUUUACAUUUCCUCCCUAACUUUAUCCCGACCUCAUCUUUACCCCUAAAAAAAUCAGUGCUCAACUAUACCCCUCUUCCGUUUGGUGCCCUUAUGAAAAUACCCUUCCGUGACGUUUCCGUCCGGUCAAAGGCCUUUGAUCAUUAGUGGGCCAUUUCCUGGACAUUUUUACCCUCCCUGCAUAUUUCACUUACAUGUGGGCCCCUUCAUCCCUGUAAAAAAUGAAAAAACUCUCACCCUCACCUCUCUUUAUCUCACUUACAUGUGGGCCUAGCAAGAAAAAAAAGGAAAACUCUCUCUCUCUCUCACCUCUGUCUCUCCCAACUCCGGUGAACCCGAUGCCCGACCUGUGGCGCUGCGGCCGUGAGCUCCGCACCCGUCUUCGCGCUCCCCUCUCUCUCUCUCUCUCUCUCUCUCUCUCUCUCUCGCCCUUGUUCUCUCUCCCAUCUCUAGCCCGCUCCCGCAAGAACGCCCGAGAGCCCAGGUCAUCUUCCCCGCCUUUGACCUCAGCUCGCCGCCGUCGAUUUGUUGUCGUGGAAGUUCCCCGCCCGAUAUCUGCCGCUCCUCGAGGAUCCCGAGGUGUCGCCGAAGACGUAGGCGUCCUCCACUGCAAGCCAAGUGACCUAGGGCCUCUUCCCCGCGAGCUCCAAGCACUGUCAUGGCCGCUGCCGACGCGAGAUCGGUCUUUGUCAUUGACUCCGGCGACGUAUGGCCCUAACCCACCACCUCUCGAUGCGCAGAGCCAGGGCUAUUGCCGGGUGCCCUUGGUCGGCAUCCCCGCGGCUUCGCGACGUGCCUCCGCCGAAGGAUUUGGUCGUCGCCGGCAAUCCUUAGACCAAACCCUCUAUUAUCCUUUUCUUUUUGCUUUUUGUUUUUUGUUUUUUUUCUUGUUUGGCCCACAUUUAAGUCAGACAAAGAGAGGUGUGUGUGAGAGAGAGUUUAAUCUUUUUUCUUUUUUGUGUGGGUCCCACCUGCAUGUGACAUAGGCAGCGAGGGGUACAAAUGUCCACAGAACAAGUCACUAACGGUCAAAGGCCUUUGACCGGACGGAAACGGCACAGAAGGGUAUUUUCAUAAGGGCACCAAACGGAAGAGGGGUAUAGUUGAGCACUGGUUUUUUUAGGUGUAAAGAUGAGGUCGGGACAAAGUUUGGGGGGAAAUGAAAUCGACCCUUUUAAUAAUGUUCAUGAAUUUGAAAAGGUGAAAAUUUUCUCUGGAAUUUGGAAAGGGACAUAAAAUGAAGAAUGAAAAGAAAGUGAGAAAUAAAAAUAAAGUAACCGAACAGGAAAAGGAAAACCACUAAACUGGCAGAGAACACAGAAAAGACCCAAGCGAAAGAACCUUAUAGUGUUCCUAGAAAAAAACUCUCAAGACACUUCCCCAUGGCCAAUCCUAUAUGCGGCCCACGGGUGGCAAAUAGAUGAGGCAACGCCAACAGUGCGGCACCGUUGGCCAGCCUAGUACUCCAUUUUCCCGUGCAGUUGUUUCGUUUGCAGACGCUACUUUUUCCGUUUAGCUUCCUAUCUGUCAUUUUUUUGGUUUUUUGUCCUGGGUAUUUUCGGUAUUUUCAUUGUUUUGGUUUAUUCAUUUUUCUCUUUUUCCACGUUUGGUUUUUUUUCCAGGUAUUCCUUCUGGUUUUUAUUUAUUUUGUUUCUUUUUCUCAUUUUGUGUAUUCUACGAUCAUCAUAAAUUAAGAAAAUGUUCACCAUAUAUUUUAAAAAAAUUCAAUGUGCAUUAAAACGUCCAUUGUAUAUUAAGAAAAUCUUCAACAUAUAAUACAAAAAUGUUCAAUGUGUAUUUACAAACUCUUCAGCAUAUCGUAUUAAGAUGUUCAUCAUAUAUUACAAAAAUGUCACCAUAUAUUAAAAUAAUGUUCUUUGUAUAUUAAGAAAAUUUACAAGGUAUUUUACAAAAAUGUUUAUUCAAAAAUCGUUCAGCAUAUAUUAAGAAAGUUCACUCUAUUUAAAAUGUUCAUAAAUACGUAAAUGCCCUUUCCUUAAAAAAUCAAGUUUUCUGAGAAUUUUUAGAAUUAGAAACGUGAAAAAAAUGAUUCGCUACAGCCAAUCGAGCUACAGUACUUCUACAGAGAAUAUAGUGCUUUGCAGUUGCUACAGUGUUGGACAGCCCAGUUGGAUCACUCCCUGUGCGAGGCCGCAUCAAUUUGACGCGCACAGGCAUCCUAUAGGAGCUCUCCUUCCCGCAGCAAGUUUUUUUAGGAUUGCCAACACUUUAUUGAUCAAUUUUAAUGUUUAUGGGGAUACAUGCUGGGUCAUGAGGAUGAAUAACCCACAAAUGGCGACCUUGAUCAAGCAUAGCAGAGUGUUUGGCAAGAUUGCGAGCUUCAUAAUUUGAUGCUCUUCCUUCCCGCGGCAAAUGGAGAAUAUGAUUUCCCAUCCGCUUCGUUUCUUUUUUUAUCCAGCUAUGGGCUAGCCGACCAUGUUCCUAGUAUAGGCUUGGAUCGUCCUUUCAACUUCAAAAUCAUGCGUGAUAUGACCCAUGCUAGCCAAGAUCCUAUUUGGUGCUCUAGGCGCUGGUUCCUUCAUUACUCGUAAAUGGGGCACUUUUUUUUUAUCUUUUUCUUUAGAUUUCAUUUUUUAUUUUGUUUACUUUUCCGUUUUCUUUGGAUUUUCUUUUUCUUUACUUUGUUCCCUUCAAAUGCAUGAACUUUUUCUCAAAUUUGGAUAUGUUUCUCAAAUUACUCGAUGUUUCUUUCAAAUUCGUGAACUCUUUUCAAAUGCGUGAACUCUUUUCAAAUUGGUGAACAUAUUUUAAUCCACGAACUUUUUUCAAAUCUGACAAUAUUUUUCAAAUGCAUGAACUUUUUCCAAAUGCGUGAACUUUAUUCAAAUCUGUGAACUUUAUUUCAAACUUGUGAAUUUUUUCAACUGUAUAAUUUCUUUCAAAUUGAUGAACUUUUUCCAAAUAUUCGAACAUUUUCAAAUUGAUGAAAUUUUUACAAAUUCUCAAACUUUUAAAAUUGCUGAACCUUUUUCAAAUCCAUGAAUGUUUUCCAGAUGUGGGAACUUUAUUCAAAAAAUUUAACUUUAUUUCAAAUUUGUGAAGUUAAUAAAAUUCAUGAAAUUUUUUCGAAUUCACAAAAUUUUCAAAUGUGUGAUACUUGUUCAAAUACAUGAAAUUUUCCAAAUGCGUGAACAUUAUUCAAAUCAAUCUUGAAGUUUUUCAGUGCGUGAACUUUUUUAAAUUUACUUAACAUUUUUUAAAUGCGUCAACAAAUGUUUAAAAUAGUGAACCUUUUAAGAAUUAACGAACCUUUUGCAAAUUGAUGAACUUUUUCAAAUUCGUGAACAUUUUGUAUCUCAUGAAUUUUUUUAGAUUCCCCCUUUUUUUAAUUCGUGAGAUUUUUUCAAACCCACGAACAUUUGUUCUGUUUCACCAAAUUUUUUAACACUGAAAAACAACCGUUCUGGUUUUUCCUUCCGGAACUUAAAGAUUUCUAUAGAGCGAGCAAAAAAACGAUCUGUAGACGACGGUGUAAAUCGUUAGCGAGCGAUUCGUGCGAGCGACAGAACUGCCAAGUCAUGGGGUGGCCCUCGUCCGUCGGCCCCUAUGCGCUGCAGCAAGAAACUGACGCUUAGCACGCCGAAUAGUCGCUCUCCCAUACUAGUUAGUGGGCAGGCUCAUUUUUAUCUGUUAAUUUAUCGUUCGCUGGUAUUGAUGAGGUGAAUGGUUUCCUUCGCUACAUUAUUUUCUCUUUUUGGGUUUGUUCUGUUUCUUCUCAGUUUUUUCUAGUAUUUCUGUUUUUCUUUAUUUUUGCAACGGUUUUCCUCGUUUCUUUCUUGGAUUUCAAUUAUUUGUUUGCCUUUUACAUUUAUUUUUUACACUGGUUUUGCUUCUUUCUUUCUUGGUUUCCACUGAUUUCUUUCUUUCUUUCUUGUUUCCUUUCUCUGUUUUUCUUCGGUUUCCUUUGUUUUUAUUUUUAUUUUUGUCCAUUUUCACUGAUUUUUUACACGCGUCUACCUUUUUUCAAUACACAAUAUAAAUUUUCAGUGUACACGUGAAACAUUGCUUUGAUACACAUUGAACAUUGUUCAAAUACAUGAUGUACAAUUUUAUUUUUAUACAUAUUUUGAGCCCUUUUUGAAUACAGGGUCAGCAUUUUUUCAAAUACAUGUUGAAAUGUUUAAUUGUAAUAAACAAUUUUCUAGAACUAUGCAAACAUUUUUUGACAUUGUAUAAACAUUUUUCUAAAUGCCACACACAUAUUUUUAAGCACGUGAACAUUUCUUUAAAUGUCAUGCACCACUUCUAAAUGGUAAUAAACCUCUUUUAUACUACACAAACAUAUUUUUACAUUGUGUAAACAUUUUCUAAAAACUUCACAUACAUUGGUUUUAAAUGUUGGCACAUUUUUUCAUGCCAGGAACAUUUCUUAUAUAACACUAUGAACUUUUUUUAUUUCUUUCACAUUUUUAUUGUGUGUUAACAUUUUUUCAGAUUUAUGGGUUUUAAAAUUUUAAAAAAUAUAUAUAAACAUUAGCAUUAAGUCAGUGCGACGGGGCGAGCCCAUUUUUGUGCUUGCACGUGCCGGCGAGGGUGAAGCGCUGCUGCUGUGUUGGGCGGGGGCCCACUACGGCUCCUCUUGACAGGAGGUUGCCCUACAUCGCUCUAUAAGCGAGACAUGCCGGUAGGCAACAUGCACAAUAUAAAUUAUAACUUGUACUUUCAUUUUUACACCUAAUUCCCUAGAACUAAAACUCAAGUUAAUCAUGUAGUGGCACGACAAGUGUUUCCCACAUCACUAAAUCGUUCUCUAUCGCUUUCUCAUAAGUCCAUCGUCAUCACGUACUAGAAAUAUAAAUCAAGGAAAGAAUCCCUAGGCCGAUCCACACACUUCGUCCUAUUUGAAAAAUAUGAGAAAAAUCUAUACUACAUUGCAUAAGCAAGAACAUAAGCUGUAUACUAUUGUGGUAGUAGGUUUUUGCCCCAUAGUGACUGUUAAGAUAAUGUACAUUUGCAGCGGGUUUCCUUCUAGUUGCCCCAACUCAAUACCCCAUCUUCCCUCCCCUUCUAUGUUCUUUUUUUCAAAAAGAAGGUUGAAACCCAUGGCCUGCGCAUCAUUGUGAUGCACUGUAUAUUUAGCUUAAGACUUUGUAUUUCCAUUAAGCAAUCAAUGAUAAAGGGUAGGCCUGGUUAUAAAAAACUUGGUCUGAAUCCAUUUUUGUGACUGAUAUACCUUUUCACGCGUAUACCCAAAGUGUAGGUGCAACAAGCUUUGUGCAACCAAAGAGUUGCAGGAGAGCAUCAACCUUGACGAAGUCGUGUCUUAAUGAUUUGUUGUCAAUGGCCUCAUCCUCACCGAUUGGGGGAAAUGAUAAUUAUAGGACCCGCUAUUUGUUCAGUGUCACGAUCCUGCUCAUUGUCCAGGAAGCGCCAUGACAAUGCUCACCCAGCGGAACACUACCAUCUCGGCCAACAAGAAGGAGCAUGUCUUCCCUACCUACUCUGAUAACCAGUUGGGCAAUCGUGAUGCUGGUCUUCCAGGUUUUUCUUGUGAAACUAUACCCCCUCCCUUCGGCACCUCUUGGUCAACUUUCGUUAAGGAAAACGUCAUCGACCAUAGUUCUUACAACAAGACAAACUAAAUGGAAAACAUGCAAAAAAUAAAACUUAAUACAUUUAGACGAGGGCGUGCGGUCUGAAUCUCGAAGCAACCAGGAACGGUUGAUUCUUUGCCGGUAGGUAAUGUACACUGUAUAAAUUACUUUCACGCAGUAAGAACAACAAAUUAGCCAAAAAUUUGGAAAUGUAGCAAGUUUGUUUAGCAAUUGUGAGUAGCUACCGUGAUACCAACCCAUAUAGCAAAUCUGCUAGAAUUUGUUUUUUCCAUUCAAAAUUGAUAUGUUUCCAUAGCAAAACUGUUGGACAUGCUCUAAGAGAGAUAAGUAAAGUGGCAACUGGGGCUGCAAUCUGACCACACGCUUUUCUCACAGCGAUCUGCGCAUAGUCCGGCGUUAAUUGGCAUUACGAGUAAAAUACCGUCAUAGGUCUGCAGGGUAUCUGACUUGGCAGACGAAGCAGGUGCACAAAAAGGUUGACAUGGUCUGAGAUAUUCCAAUUAUUUACUGUGGCGGGUGGUUGGGGGUUGUGGGUGAUUUGCUUCGUGCAUGCCAGCGUGCUGUCCUUGGUCUAUGCCUCGUACGCGCUUCUCAGGUCGCCAUCACACUCAUGCUUAGUAGUAGUACAUCGGUGUACUGCUAAUGGAAAAUCUAGGCUUCGUGUUAAAUUAAUACGGAAUAGUUCUUACAUGGCAGAUCUCUAAUUUUAUUCAGUAGUGGUCGGACACCGCUUGCACAAGUACCACCGCGAGCAUGAACACGCAUAGCAUUUGUGUGUUCUUGGUUCGUUGCGUGCCUGCGUACGUCCUGCAGUGCUUCCGCCAUCCUGAACCUGACAUUGUUGCCGCCCCCAGCAGUUUGGAUUAGCAGAUUGAUGUCCACUCCUGUGAUGAAGAACGUGUACUGAUUCUCCCAAAGCCAAAAAUCACAUGGUCCGUGGUUCUGCACGUCCCAAACGAAAAUGACAUGUGCAUGUUAAAUCAACAAGCUAGUUACUUAUUGAUUGAUUCGGGCACUUGUAGAAAUGGAUGCCAGGGAGCACAAAGUUGUACUGGUGCGUGCUCUUAUAGCUGGUAAAAAGAAAGUACGUCAUACAUUAUCGCAAUGGCACAUAGCAAUGGCAAUGGUAUAUGCGUUCAUACUGCCAGAAUCACGAAGGCCCACGCCGGGGGCAACUGUCGGCUCCAUACUGACAUUUGCAGCAUGCACUUGCCUUUGUGUCAGGUUGUUCUGCCUAUAAUACAUAUAUAAGCUACAAAACGAUGUCUGACACCCAUAUACUCUAACUAGCAGCCUGCUCUGUUCCGAAUCGCAAAGGCCUGCGCGCCGUCGAUGGCGUGGGAUCAGAUGGCGCUGCGUCCAGUGCUGCACUUCUCGGCAACUGGGUAAUAAAGAAUGUAGCCAUAAUAUUAGUAGAUAGUCGAGUUAAUGGUUGUGAAAGAGAAUAUGUCCAUAUAUAUAGUACCCGUGACAAAAGUGCAGCAGCCCCAUCAUCACGACAUCAUAUCACCAUUCUGGUUCUUGUUCUUGGUUUAAACUUUUGGUACUAUGACAGAAGUUAAUACUUAGCCUUGCACUGCACAAGCGGGGGCGGAGCCAGAAAAAAUUUGGCCAUUGGAUUCGCUCAUUGACUCGUCAUAAGAACUUGGCACUAUUUAUGUUUCAGGCGUUAAUUGCAAAUGCAUCACUCUCAGUUUGUCCCUCAUUGUAAUCUUGAAAAGGUAGCAGCACAAACAGAAGGCCUUAUGCACUUUGUCACUAUACUCAAACCAAUGAUCAUAUUCAUCAAACCAAUAUGGAUUAAAUCACUUUUGAGUAUCUCCAAUCUCUCUCUGCGGAUAAUCAAAAUAAAGUGGCGGCCUAUAAAGUUCCCUCGCUAAACAUCGGUGUCUUGUCUCAUCUUGCUUCUUAGGAUUUCUUGUGCACUCUAAAAUUCUCUUCCGAUCAACGGGAUCAUAAAGCAACCCAUCUAAAUUAAUUUAUACAUGAAUCAAAGCCUUUGGGAGACUAGCUGCAGAGACAUUUGAUAGACUUGCCUACACCUAACGGCAAAUCUUGAUGUGAUUGUAUCAUUAUCUGGAUCUAUUUCUUUUUGAUAAAUACCGUUCCAUAGCCUAGAUCAAUCAAAGUCCAUGCAAAAUACUGUCUGAAAACUAGGGCAACUUUUUUACAAUCGUGUUAGGGUAUAUAUUAUGCAUUCACAAGAGGUAGGAGACGUGGCGGGUAACCUAAUUACCUCAAAUUCUGAUGUCUUGUCGAUGUCGAAUUGUCCAUCUGCAGCGGUCUGCUCGCCGCUGGCAUCCGGCGGCCGAGCUACCCCUCAAGAUGCGAGUUGAGAAAAUGAACAGAGGAGAGUCCCCAGGCGUGUGGCGGCCGUGCGUAUACAAACAACAUGGUACGUGACUAAUCAACAGGGCCUGCUAAUCAAGUCAAGGUGUUUUAGGCCUGGGCAUGCGUACGUGACUAAAUAAAUGACUAAUCAAGACAUUUGCUUGUGGGCUUUUGGGCCUUCGCUUAGCUAUCCACCACACAUUAGAUGGGGUCAGCCUGGACUUUGUAUUGGGUUCAACCAAGCAAACAUGCAUGCCUACACACACGUAGCAGAGAAAAUCUGUUGGGUUCACUUGAACCCAACGAUUGUAUGCUGGCUCCGCCCCUGUGCACAAGUUUAUAGAUGUCUUUAUAUAUAAGUUUUCGUCUUAAACUCUUAAUUUUGUACUUGAAUUCUUGGCAUGUUUCUUUGUGUCUUCUUUGUAACAUGCUUUUAAGGGGAAACUACGUCUUGGUGUAGCAUUUCUAAACCUGGUCAAGAUGUGGACAUCUUGUUCCACUAAAACUAAAGUGGCAACUGGUAAUAAAUGGUAGCCAUAUAUUGUAGAUAGUGAAGAUAAUGGUUUUGAAAGAGAGUAUGGCCAUAUAUAGUAUGUAACAAUAAUAAUACAUGUGACCAAAGUGCAGCAAUGCCACCACGACAGCAUAUUACCCUUCUAAUUAUAGUUUUUGCUUAAAAUUUUAGUUUGACAAAUCUGUAGUAACCUCAUGCUAUUCUGCCCUUUUCACCGGCUCUACUACGUCCGAGCACUGGCGCCUCGUGUGGAAGUCGAGUGCCCCCCUCUCUGUCAAGUUCUUCAUUUACCUUGCCUCCGUCAACCGUUGUUGGAUGGCUGACUGGCUUGAACGCCGGGGCCUUCCUCACGAGCCGGUAUGUGUGCUGUGUUCCUAACAUGCGGAGACCCUUCAGCAUCUCCUGGUGGAGUGUGUUUUCUCUAGCAUAAUCUGGCAUGGCGUUCUCUCCUGGUGUUGCCCUGAACUCACCAUACCAGAUGGCUCCCUUUGCUUCCUAGACUGGCUGAGCUCAGCCCUUACCAUGGUGACCCAAGAUAAAAGACGAGGACUCUCCACCAUUGCCGCCUUGACGGUAUGGUCCAUUUGGCGCCGCCGCAAUGCGAUCAUCUUCGACAAGAUCACACCCUCCUCCGCCUGGCUCCUGGCUGCGAUCCAAGACGACGCCCGCUUCUGGGUCUGUGCAGAAGCCAAAGGAUUGAGUAGUAUCAUCCCUGUAACAUAGACUGAUACCUGAGCUGAGCAACCCAUUCCAUGCUCACUAUGCAUCUCGGACACGCCUUGCAGUGUACGUGCCCCCGAUGCUUAACCUGUAUGUUCUCCCCUCUCUAUCAAUGCAAUGAUACGCUGACCGUAGCGUAUUCGAGAAAUGUAGUAACCUUGUAACAGGUUUUUUUAACACAGUUCACUCGCCCCUACUUCUUCAUAUAGUGAAACUACUAGGGUUACAAAUUUGUAGUAAACUUGUAAAAAAAAUAGUAACCUUGUGUCACUUUCUAUCACCUUCUUCUUCGGCUGAGAUUGAUGGGUAGGCAAGCACGUCCCUACUUUCCAUAAGUGAAGCUACCAGGGUUACACAAGCUAGUACUAAACAUAUUUUAGUUAGCAUUGCACCGCACAAGUAGUUUGCGUCUUAUUAAUUAUGAGCUUGCAUUCCUGGCAUGUUCUAACAGUGGAAACUACGUCCCGGUGUAGCAUUUCCAAACCUGUCAAAAUGUUGACAUCUUGUUUCACUAAAAGAUCAAUAUACUCGUAGUGGCCACGUUUGGUGGCCUCCUGAGGUUCAAAGCUUAAUCACAAAGCUAUCUUUUUUGUUUCCAUCAUUAAUUGUACCUUGCACUUCCAUUUUUACACCUUAUUAUAGCUUAGAACUGAAACUGUAGCUGACCACAUCACCAUCACCAUCUCUCUCUCUCUCUCUCUCUCUCACACACACACACACACACACACACACACACACACACACACACAUAAGCCUGUCACCGUCGUCACAUACUAGAAAGAGAAAUCAAUGCAAGAACCUCUAGGCUGAUCCACACACUUUGUCCUAUCUGGAAAUAUGAGAACGCCUAUAUUGUACUAAUUCCAUAAGGGCCUUUCUAAUCGACCCCAUAAAAAAUAGAUGAGUAAACCUUAGUGGAGUAUAUUUACUCCACUAAGUUUUGGCCGGACCUAGCCGAUCCCCUAUAUUUUUUUUGGAAAAGGGGGACUCCCGGCCUCUGCAUCAGAUCGAUGCAUACGGCCACUUAGAUAAAUAAAAUAGGUUCAACAAAGUCGAAUAGUCGUAAAAGAAAGCAACGUCGAGCUCACAUAGACCUCGACACGAAAACAAAAAAGGCCAUAAAGCCACAACCGGCUGGCAGAAAUAAAGGUAGGAAAACUAAUUGCCUAUCCUAUUACAUGACCGCCAUCCAAACCGGUUGAAGAUAUCCCGCGCUACCAUCUCCCACCCGACAGAUCCAGUAACCAAACGCUCCCUGGCCUCCGUCGGAGUGAGUAGGGACCACAUACGGAUCAACGCCGUAGCACGGAAUACAACCUGCAAAAAAUGCAUAGUAGUUAUUCUGUUAAAAGCCAAAUCAUUUCUGCAGUUCCAAAUUGCCCACAACAAUGCACAAACUCCUACACGAAUGUGUCUAGCUGUAACGGACUCUAUCCCAUCCAGCCACGUUCCAAAUAACGACCCGACCGAACUCGGAGGAGUAAUGUUAAAAGCAAUUUGCACGGAGCGCCACAAAAUUCUUGCCAACGGGCACUCAAAGAAUAGAUGCUUGAUGGUUUCAUCCCGAUCACAGAAACUACACCUAGUAGAUCCUGUCCAAUUGCGCUUAACCAAGUUGUCCUUUGUUAGAAUGACCUGUUUAUGGACAAACCACAUAAACACUUUGAUUUUCAAAGGAACUUUGACUUUCCAAACAUGUUUGGAGUUAGGAAUGAUACUCGAGUUAAUAACAUCGAUGUACAUCGAUUUAACAGUAAAUUGUCCAAACCUAGUAAGUUUCCAACACAACUGAUCGGGCUGGUGCUGUAGCUGAACUGAAGGAAAUAUGCCCUAGAGGCAAUAAUAAAAGUAUUAUAUAUUUCCUUAUAUCAUGAUAAAUGUUUAUUAUUCAUGCUAGAACUGUAUUAACCGGAAACAUAAUACAUGUGUGAAUACAUAGACAAACAGAGUGUCACUAGUAUGCCUCUACUUGACUAGCUCGUUAAUCAAAGAUGGUUAUGUUUCCUAGCCAUAGACAUAAGUUGUCAUUUGAUUAACGAGAUCACCUCAUUAGGAGAAUGACGUGAUUGACUUGACCCAUUCCGUUAGCUUAGCACUCGAUCGUUUAGUAUGUUGCUAUUGCUUUCUUCAUGACUUAUACAUGUUCCUAUGACUAUGAGAUUAUGCAACUCCCGUUUACCGGAGGAACACUUUGUGUGCUACCAAACGUCACAACGUAAAUGGGUGAUUAUAAAGGUGCUCUACAGGUGUCUCCAAAGGUACUUGUUGGGUUGGCGUAUUUCGAGAUUAGGAUUUGUCACUCCAAUUGUCGGAGAGGUAUCUCUGGGCCCACUCGGUAAUGCACAUCACUAUAAGCCUUGCAAGCAUUGUGACUAAUGAGUUAGUUGCGGGAUGAUGUGUUACGGAACGAGUAAAGAGACUUGCCGGUAACGAGAUUGAACUAGGUAUCAAGAUACCGACGAUCAAAUCUUGGGCAAGUAACAUACCGGUGACAAAGGGAACAACGUAUGUUGUUAUGCGGUCUGACCGAUAAAGAUCUUCGUAGAAUAUGUGGGAGCCAAUAUGGGCAUCCAGGUCCCGCUAUUGGUUAUUGACCGGAGACGUGUCUCGGUCAUGUCUAUAUAGUUCUCGAACCCGUAGGGUCCGCACGCUUAACGUUACGAUGACAGUUUUAUUGAGUUUUGAUGUACCGAAGGAGUUCGGAGUCCCGGAUGAGAUCGGGGAUAUGACGAGGAGUCUCGAAAUGGUCGAGACGUAAAAAUUGAUAUAUUGGACGACUAUAUUCGGACUUCGGAAAGGUUCCGAGUGAUUCGGGUAUUUUUCGGAGUACCGGAGAGUUACGGGAAUUCGUAUUGGGCCUUAAUGGGCCAUACGGGAAAGGAGAGAAAGGCCUCAAAAGGUGGCCGCACCCUUCCCCAUGGUCUGGUCCGAAUUGGACUAGGGAAGGGGGGCGCACCCUUCCUUCUUUCUCCUUCCCCCUUCCCUUCUCCUACUCCCACAAGGAAAGGAGGAGUCCUACUCCCGGUGGGAGUAGGACUCCUCCCUAUGGCGCGCCUCUCCCCUUGGCCGGCUGCCUCCCCCUUGCUCCUUUAUAUACGGGGGCAGGGGGCACCCCAGAGACACAACAAUUGAUCCUUGAGAUCUCUUAGCCGUGUGCGGUGCCCCCCUCCACCAUAUUACACCUCGAUAAUACCGUUGCGGAGCUUAGGCAAAGCCCUGCGUCGGUGGAACAUCAUCAUCGUCACCACGCCGUCGUGCUGACGAAACUCUCCCUCAACACUCGGCUGGAUCGGAGUUCGAGGGACGUCAUCGAGCUGAACGUGUGUAGAACUCGGAGGUGCCGUACGUUCGGUACUUGAUCGGUCGGAUCGUGAAGACGUACGACUACAUCAACCGCGUUGUGAUAACGCUUCCGCUGUCGGUCUACGAGGGUACGUGGACAACACUCUCCCCUCUCGUUGCUAUGCAUCACCAUGAUCUUGCGUGUGCAUAGGAAAAUUUUGAAAUUACUACGUUCCCCAACAGUGGCAUCCGAGCCAGGUUUUAUGCGUUGAUGCUAUGCACGAGUAGAAGACAAGUGAGUUGUGGGCGAUAUAAGUCAUACUGCUUACCAGCAUGUCAUAAUUUGGUUCAGCGGUAUUGUGAGAUGAAGCGGCCCGGACCGACAUUACGCGUACGCUUACGCGAGACUGGUUUCACCGUUGCGAGCACUCGUUGCUUAAAGGUGACCGGCGGGUGUCUGUCUCUCUCACUUUAGUUGAACCGAGUGUGGCUACGCCCGGUCCUUGCGAAGGUUAAAACAGCACCAACUUGACAAACUAUCGUUGUGGUUUUGAUGCGUAGGUAAGAACGGUUCUUGCUAAGCCCGUAGUAGCCACGUAAAACAUGCAACAACAAAGUAGAGGACGUCUAACUUGUUUUUGCAGGGCAUGUUGUGAUGUGAUAUGGUCAAGACAUGAUGUGAUAUAAUGUGUUGUAUGAGAUGAUCAUGUUUUGUAACCGAGUUAUCGGCAACUAGCAGGAGCCAUAUGGUUGUCGCUUUAUUGUAUGAGAUGCAAUCGCCAUGUAAUAGUUUUACUUUAUCACUAAGCGGUAGCGAUAGUCGUAAAAGCAAUAAGUUGGCGAGACGACAACGAUGCUACGAUGGAGAUCAAGGUGUCGCGCCGGUGACAAUGGUGAUCAUGACGGUGCUUCGGAGAUGGAGAUCACAAGCACGGUGCUUCGGAGAUGGAGAUCACAAGCACAAGAUGAUGAUGGCCAUAUCAUAUCACUUAUAUUGAUUGCAUGUGAUGUUAAUCCUUUAUGCAUCUUAUCUUGCUUUGUUUGACAGUAGCAUUAUAAGAUGAUCCUUUACUAAAUUAUCAAAGUAUAAGUGUUCUCCCUGAGUAUGCACCGUUGCGAAAGUUUUUCGUGCUGAGACACCACGUGAUGAUCGGGUGUGAUAGGCUCUACGUUCAAAUACAACGUGUGCAAAACAGUUGCACACACGGAAUACUCAGGUUAAACUUGACGAGCCUAGCAUAUAACAGAUAUGGACUCGGAACACAGAGACCGAAAGGUCGAGCGUGAAUCAUAUAGUAGAUAUGAUCAACAUAGUGAUGUUCACCAUUGAAACUACUCCAUCUCACGUGAUGAUCGGACAUGGUUUAGUUGAUAUGGAUCACGUGAUCACUUAGAGGAUUAGAGGGAUGUCUAUCUAAGUGGGAGUUCUUAAGUAAUAUGAUUAAUUGAACUUAAAUUUAUCAUGAACUUAGUCCUGAUAGUAUUUUGCAAAUUAUGUUGUAGAUCAAUAGCUCGCGUUGUUGCUUCCCUGUGUUUAUUUUUGAUGUGUUCCUAGAGAAAAAUUAUGUUAAAAGAUGUUAGUAGCAAAGAUGCGGAUUGGAUCCGUGAUCUCAGGAUUAUCCUCAUUGCUGCACAGAAGAAUUAUGUCCUUGAUGCACCGCUAGGUGACAGACCUAUUGCAGGAGCAGAUGCAGACGUUAUGAACAUUUGGCUAGCUCAAUAUGAUAACUACUUGAUAGUUUAGUGCACCAUGCUUAACGGCUUAGAAUCGGGACUUCAAAGACGUUUUGAACGUCAUGGACCAUAUGAGAUGUUCCAGGAGUUGAAGUUAAUAUUUCAAGCAAAUACCCGAGUUGAGAGAUAUGAAGUCUCCAACAAGUUCUAUAGCUAAAAGAUGGAGGAGAAUCGCUCAACUAGUGAGCAUGUGCUCAGAUUGUCUGGGUACUACAAUCGCUUGAAUCAAGUGGGAGUUAAUCUUCCAGAUAAAAUAGUGAUUGACAGAAUUCUCUAGUCACCAUCACCAAGUUAGUAGAACUUCGUGAUGAACUACAGUAUGCAAGGGAUGACGAAAGUAAUUCCCGAGCUCUUCGUGAUGCUGAAAUCGACGAAGGUAGAAAUCAAGAAAAACAUCAAGUGUUGAUGGUUGACGAGACCACUAGUUUCAAGAAAAGGGCAAAGGGAAGAAGGGGAACUUCAAGAAGAACGGCAAGCAAGUUGCUGCUCAAGUGAAGAAGCCUAAGUCUGGUCCUAAGCUUGAGACUAAGUGCUUCUACUGCAAAGGGACUGGUCACUGGAAUCGGAACUACCCCAAGUAUUUGGUGGAUAAGAAGGAUGGCAAAGUGAACAAAGGUAUAUUGGAUAUACAUGUUAUUGAUGUGUACUUUACUAGUGUUUAUAGCAACCCCUCGGUAUUUGAUACUGGUACAGUUGCUAAAGUAGUAACUCGAAACGGGAGUUGCAGAAUAAACAGAGACUAGUAAAAGGAGAGGUGACGAUGUGUGUUGGAAGUAGUUCCAAGAUUGAUAUGAUCAUCAUCGCACACUCCCUAUACUUUCGGGAUUAGUGUUGAAACUAAAUAAGUGUUAUUUGGUGUUUGCGUUGAGCAUGAAUAUGAUUUGAUCAUGUUUAUUGCAAUACGGUUAUUCAUUUAAGUUAGAGAACAAUUGUUGUUCUGUUUACAUGAAUAAAAACCUUCUAUGGUCAUACACACCAACGAAAAUGGUUUGUUGGAUCUCGAUCGUAGUGAUACACAUAAUCAUAAUAUUGAAGCCAAAAGAUGCAAAGUUAAUAAUGAUAGUGCAAAUUAUUUGUGGCACUGCCGUUUAGGUCAUAUUGGUGUAAAGCGCAUGAAGAAACUCCAUACUGAUGGGAUUUUGGAAUCACUUGAUACUUGCGAACCGUGCCUCAUGGGCAAGAUGACUAAAACGCCGUUCUCCGGAACUAUGGAGAGAGCAACAGAUUUGUUGGAAAUCAUACAUACAGAUGUGUGUGGUCCGAUGAAUAUUGAGGCUCGUGGCGGAUAUCGUUAUUUUCUCACCUUCACAGAUGAUUUGAGCAGAUAUGGGUAUAUCUACUUAAUGAAACAUAAGUCUGAAACAUUUGAAAAGUUCAUAUAAUUUCAGAGUGAAGUGGAAAAUCAUCGUAACAAGAAAAUAAAGUUUCUACGAUCUGAUCGUAGAGAAGAGUAUUUGAGUUACGAGUUUGUCCUUCAGUAAAAACAAUGUGAAAUAGUUUCACUACUCACGCCACCUGGAACACCACAGUGUAAUAGUGUGUCCGAACAUCGUAACCGUACUUUAUUAGAUAUGGUGCAAUAUAUGAUGUCUCUGACCGAUCUACCACUAUCGUUUUGGGGUUAUGCAUUAGAGACAGCUACAUUCACGUUAAAUAGGGCACCAUCAAAAUCCGUUGAGACGACGCCUUAUGAACUGUGGUUUGGCAAGAAACCAAAGUUGUCGUUUCUUAAAGUUUGGGGUUGCGAUGCUUAUGUGAAAAAGUUUCAUCCUGAUAAGCUCAAACCCAAAUCGGAGAAAUGUGUCUUCAUAGGAUACCCAAAGGAGACAGUUGGGUAUAGCUUCUAUCACAGAUCCGAAGGCAAGACAUUUGUUGCUUAGUAUGGAUCCUUUCUAGAGAAGGAGUUUCUCUUGAAAGAAGUGAGUGGGAGGAAAGUAGAACUUGAUGAGGUAACUGUACCUGCUCCCUUAUUGGAAAGUAGUUCAUCACAGAAAUCUGUUCCUGUGACUCCUACACCAAUUAGUGAGGAAGUUAAUGAUGAUGAUCAUGUAACUUCAGAUCAAGUUACUACCAAACCUCGUAGGUAAACCAGAGUAAGAUCCGCACCAGAGUGGUACGGUAAUCCUGUUCUGGAAGUUAUGUUACUAGACCAUGACGAACCUACGAACUAUGAAGAAGCGAUGGUGAGCCCAGAUUCCGCAAAAUGGCUUGAGGCCAUGAAAUCUGAGAUGAGAUCCAUGUAUGAGAACAAAGUGUGGACUUUGGUUGAUUUGCCCGAUGAUUGGCACGCAAUUGAGAAUAAAUGGAUCUUCAAGAGGAAGAGGGACGCUGAUAGUAGUGUCACUAUCUACAAAGCUAGAAUUGUCACAAAAAGGUUUUCGACAAGUUCAAGAUGUUAACUACGAUGAGAGUUUCUCACUCGUAUCUAUGCUUAAGUCUGUCCGAAUCAUGUUAGCAAUUGCCGCAUUUUAUGAAAUCUGGCAAAGGGAUAAACAAAACUGCAUUCCUUAAUGGAUUUAUUAAAGAAGAGUUGUAUAUGAUGCAACCAGAAGGUUUUGUCAAUCCUAAAGGUGCUAACAAAAUAUGCAAGCUCCAGCGAUCCAUCUAUGGACUGGUGCAAGCAUCUCGGAGUUGGAAUAUACACUUUGAUAAGUUGAUCAAAGGAUAUAGUGUUAUACAGACUUGCGGUGAAGCCUGUAUUUACAAGAAAGUGAGUGGGAGCACUACAGCAUUUCUGAUAAGUAUAUGUGAAUGACAUAUUGUUGAUCGGAAAUAAUGUAGAAUUAUUCUGCAAAGCAUAAAGGAGUGUUUGAAAGAAGUUUUCAAAGAAAGACCUCGGUGAAGCUGCUUACAUAUUGAGCAUCAAGAUCUAUAGAGAUAGAUGAAGACGCUUGAUAAGUUUUUCAAUGAGUACAUACCUUAACAAGAUUUUGAAGUAGUUCAAAAUAGAACAGUCAAAGAAAGAGUUCUUGCCUGUGUUACAAGGUGUGAAAUUGAGUAAAGACUCAAAGCCCGACCACGGCAAAAGAUAGAAAGAGAAUGAAAGUCAUUCCCUAUGCCUUGGCCAUAGGUUCUAUAAAGUAUGCCAUGCUGUGUACCAGAUCUAUUGUAUACCCUACACUGAUUUUGGCAAGGGAGUACAAUAGUGAUCUAGGAGUAGAUCACUGGACAGCGGUCAAAAUUAUCCUUAGUGGAAUAAGGAUAUGUUUCUCGAUUAUGGAAGUGACAAAAAGGUUCGUCGUAAAGAGUUACGUCGAUGCAAGUUUUGACACUAAAUCUAGAUGACUCUAAGUCUCGGUCUAGAUACAUAUUGAAAGUGGGAGCAAUUAGCUAGAGUAGCUCCGUGCAGAGCAUUGUAGACAUAGAAAUUUGCAAAAAUACUUACGGAUCUGAAUGUGACAGACCCAUUGACUAAAAUUAUCUCACAAUCAAAACAUGAUCACACCUUAGUACUCUUUGGGUGUUAAUCACAUAGCGAUGUGAACUAGAUUAUUGACUCUAGUAAACCCUUUGAGUGUUGGUCACAUAGAGAUGUGAACUAUGGGUGUUAAUCACAUGGUGAUGUGAAUUAUUGAUGUUAAAUCACAUGGCGAUGUGAACUAGAUUAUUGACUCUAGUGCAAGUGGGAGACUGAAGGAAAUAUGCCCUAGAGGCAAUAAUAAAAGUAUUAUAUAUUUCCUUAUAUCAUGAUAAAUGUUUAUUAUUCAUGCUAGAACUGUAUUAACCGGAAACAUAAUACAUGUGUGAAUACAUAGACAAACAGAGUAUCACUAGUAUGCCUCUACUUGACUAGCUCGUUAAUCAAAGAUGGUUAUGUUUCCUAGCCAUAGACAUAAGUUGUCAUUUGAUUAACGAGAUCACCUCAUUAGGAGAAUGACGUGAUUGACUUGACCCAUUCCGUUAGCUUAGCACUCGAUCGUUUAGUAUGUUGCUAUUGCUUUCUUCAUGACUUAUACAUGUUCCUAUGACUAUGAGAUUAUGCAACUCCCGUUUACCGGAGGAACACUUUGUGUGCUACCAAACGUCACAACGUAAAUGGGUGAUUAUAAAGGUGCUCUACAGGUGUCUCCAAAGGUACUUGUUGGGUUGGCGUAUUUCGAGAUUAGGAUUUGUCACUCCAAUUGUCGGAGAGGUAUCUCUGGGCCCACUCGGUAAUGCACAUCACUAUAAGCCUUGCAAGCAUUGUGACUAAUGAGUUAGUUGCGGGAUGAUGUGUUACGGAACGAGUAAAGAGACUUGUCGGUAACGAGAUUGAACUAGGUAUCAAGAUACCGACGAUCAAAUCUCGGGCAAGUAACAUACCGGUGACAAAGGGAACAACGUAUGUUGUUAUGCGGUCUGACCGAUAAAGAUCUUCGUAGAAUAUGUGGGAGCCAAUAAGGGCAUCCAGGUCCCGCUAUUGAUUAUUGACCGGAGACGUGUCUCGGUCAUGUCUACAUAGUUCUCGAACCCGUAGGGUCCGCACGCUUAACGUUACGAUGACAGUUUUAUUGAGUUUUGAUGUACCGAAGGAGUUCAGAGCCCUGGAUGAGAUCGGGGAUAUGACGAGGAGUCUCGAAAUGGUCGAGACGUAAAAAUCGAUAUAUUGGAUGACUAUAUUCGGACUUCGGAAAGGUUCCGAGUGAUUCGGGUAUUUUUCGGAGUACCGGAGAGUUACGGGAAUUCGUAUUGGGCCUUAAUGGGCCAUACGGGAAAGGAGAGAAAGGCCUCAAAAGGUGGCCGCACCCCUCCCCAUGGUCUGGUCCGAAUUGGACUAGGGAAGGGGGGCGCACCCUUCCUUCUUUCUCCUUCCCCCUUCCCUUCUCCUACUCCCACAAGGAAAGGAGGAGUCCUACUCCCGGUGGGAGUAGGACUCCUCCCUAUGGCGCGCCUCUCCCCUUGGCCGGCUGCCUCCCCCUUGCUCCUUUAUAUACGGGGGCAGGGGGCACCCCAGAGACACAACAAUUGAUCCUUGAGAUCUCUUAGCCGUGUGCGGUGCCCCCCUCCACCAUAUUACACCUCGAUAAUACCGUUGCGGAGUUUAGGCAAAGCCCUGCGUCGGUGGAACAUCAUCAUCGUCACCACGCCGUCGUGCUGACGAAACUCUCCCUCAACACUCGGCUGGAUCGGAGUUCGAGGGACGUCAUCGAGCUGAACGUGUGUAGAACUCGGAGGUGCCGUACGUUCGGUACUUGAUCGGUCGGAUCGUGAAGACGUACGACUACAUCAACCGCGUUGUGAUAACGCUUCCGUUGUCGGUCUACGAGGGUACGUGGACAACACUCUUCCCUCUCGUUGCUAUGCAUCACCAUGAUCUUGCAUGUGCGUAGGAAAUUUUUGAAAUUACUACGUUCCCCAACAUGAACCUCCAUCAGUCUACGCAUCAGAUGAAGCCAAGCUUCCCAUCUAUUACCAACAAGCACCCUCCUAAACUGAAUAUUAAGGGGGUGGCCUGCAUAAUCGUUGCCACAAGCGCAUCACGGCGAUGCACAAUCCGAUACAGAGUUGGGUACUGUAAUGCCAAAGGUGUCUCACCAAGCCAAGUGUCCUCCCAGAAGCGAGUAUCGUUAUCAUCUCCGACAAUAAACUUUGUUCUAUUAAAGAAGGCUGCCUUAACUCUCAUAAGCCCCUUCCAAAAUGGCGAGUCUAUACUUUCUCUUAAGAUCAUCACUCUGCCAAAAAAAUCUUGACCGAUAGAAGUCCAGCCUUUUCCUAACCCCAACUGGAACCUCAAAGAAAGAUAGGAGGAACAUCGGCAAACUUGUGAGCACCGAAUUAAUAAGAAUUAACCGGCCUCCAUAAGACAGAAGUUUUCCCUUCCAGCAACUAAGUUUCUUUUCGAUCCGAUCUUCGAUACAUUUCCACUCUCUGUUCGUGAGCUUACGAUGAUGAAUGGGUAUACCUAGGUAAGUAAAAGGUAAAGCCCCUAAUUCACAACCAAACAAUUUCCUAUAAGCCUCUUGUUCCUCCUUGGCUCUACCAAAGCAGAACAACUCGCUUUUAUGAAAGUUAAUCUUUAAACCGGACAAUUGUUCAAAUAAACACAACACCAGCUUCAUGUUUCUCGCUUUUGCCACGUCAUGCUCCAUGAAGAUGAUUGUAUCAUCAACGUACUGCAAAAUGGACACACCCCCAUCAACUAGGUUAGGCACCAAGCCACCUACCUGACCGGCGUUCUUUGCCCUGCCUAUGAGAAUGGCCAACAUAUCGACUACAAUGUUGAACAGUAUAGGGGACAUUGGAUCUCCUUGCCUCAGGCCUUUGUGUGUCUGGAAAUAAUGACCUAUAUCAUCAUUUACUUUAAUUCCAACACUACCUUUUUGCGUAAAGGAUUCUACCUGGCGUCGCCAGGCCUCAUCAAAACCCUUCAUGCGUAAAGCCUGUUGAAGGAAAGGCCAUUUGACUUUGUCAUACGCUUUUUCGAAAUCCACUUUGAAAACAACCCCAUCUAGCUUUUUCGUGUGGAUUUCAUGGAGCGUUUCAUGUAGGACCACAACACCCUCAAGGAUGUUCCUGUCCGGCAUGAAGGCAGUUUGGGUAGGUUGCACAACAGCAUGCGCGAUCUGUGAGAGCCUAUUGGUCCCGACCUUGGUGAAAAUUUUGAAACUAACAUUAAGAAGACAGAUUGGCCUGAAUUGCUCAAUUCUCACAGCCUCUGUUUUCUUAGGAAGAAGGGUGAUCGUUCCAAAAUUUAGCUGAAAAAGAUGAAGCUGCCCAGCAAACAGAUCAUUGAACAAAGGCAACAAAUCUCCUUUAAUGAUGAACCAGCAUUUCUUAUAAAACUCCGCUGGAAAUCCAUCCGGGCCCGGCGCUUUGUUAUUUUCCAUUUGCGAAACGGCGUCAAAUACCUCUUUCUCGGUAAAAGGAGCCGUCAGAACAUCAUUCUCCACAACUGUGAGCUGAGGAACAUCCUCAACCCUGGACUCAUCCAGAGACACACAGUUAUUUUCUGGAGGGCCAAACAACUGCUUAUAGAACUCAGUAAUGUACAAUUUUAGGUUCUCCUGUCCUACAAUUGUACCCUCAUCUUGCUCAAGCUGAAAGAUCCUCUUCUUUCGAUGCUUACCAUUAGCAAUCAUGUGAAAAAAUUCAGUGUUCGCGUCCCCCUGGACUACUCUCCGGACCUUGGCCCGCAAAGCCCACUUCAACUCUUCUUCCCUAAGAAGUUCUUACAGCCUCAAUUCCGCGUCCAGCUUGGCAUGAAGCUCCGCGACCGACAGAAGCGUGGUUUCUGCUUUUACAUCCAGGGACUGAAUAAGGGACAGAAGCCUUUCCUUUUCAACCUUAUAAAUCCCGCUAAGAUGCUUAGCCCAUCCACGCAGGAAACUCCUCAAGUGCUUGAUCUUAUUCUGCCAGCGCUGAAGCGCAGUCUUUCCUCCUGAAUCCUUAGCCCACUCUCUAGCCACGAGAUCAAGGAAGCCUUCACGUUCAGACCAAGCCAUCUCAAAGGAGAACACAUUCUUGUUCCCCAAGUGGGAGGGCUGACCAGAGUCCACAAAAAGCGGCGUGUGGUCAGAAAUACCACGGGACAAGGCCUGGACUGUUACUAGAGGAAACUUCUGUUCCCAAUCGACACUAGCCAACACACGGUCCAACUUCUCAUACGUCGGAUUUGGCAGCGCAUUAGCCCAGGUGAAUUUUCUGCCCGAGAGCUCAAUUUCUCUCAGGUUCAAACUUUCAAUGAUAGUAUUGAACAUGAACGACCAUCUGCCGUCAAAGUUAUCAUUGUUCUUAUCCUCACGCCUUCUAAUAAUAUUGAAAUCACCCCCCACCAGGUACGACAACUGCUCGGAACCACACAUCCGAACGAGAUCAGCCAUGAAAUCGGGCUUGAGCUCGGGCUGCGCAGCCCCAUAAACCGCAACCAGAGCCCAGUUAAACCCAUCUUCCUUCGACCGCACCCGGAACUUGACUGCAAAGUCACCCAUAACCACACUACGAACCUCAAGCGUCUCGCACCUAACGCCGAGUAAGAUUCCACCCGAUCUCCCUCUCGGCGGCAAGCAAUGCCAAUCAAAUUCAAUACCCCCUGACAAAGAAUUUAGAAAUUGAGGCGCAAAAUUAUCUCUCCCCGUCUCCAAAAGAGCGAUAAAAUCUAAGUGAUGCUCUGUUGGAAAUAUGCCCUAGAGGCAAUAAUAAAUGGUUAUUAUUAUAUUUCUUUGUUCAUGGUAAUUGUCUAUUGUUCAUGCUAUAAUUGUAUUGUCCGGAAAUCGUAAUACAUGUGUGAAUACAUAGACCACAACGUGUCCCUAGUAAGCCUCUAGUUGACUAGCUCGUUGAUCAACAGAUAGUCAUGGUUUCCUGACUAUGGACAUUGGAUGUCGUUGAUAACGGGAUCACAUCAUUAGGAGAAUGAUGUGAUGGACAAGACCCAAUCCUAAGCAUAGCAUAAAAGAUCGUGUAGCUUCGUUUGCUAGAGCUUUUCCAAUGUCAAGUAUCUUUUCCUUAGACCAUGAGAUCGUGCAACUCCCGGAUACCGUAGGAGUGCUUUGGGUGUGCCAAACGUCACAACGUAACUAGGUGACUAUAAAGGUGCACUACGGGUAUCUCCGAAAGUGUCUGUUGGGUUAGCACGGAUCGAGACUGGGAUUUGUCACUCCGUGUGACGGAGAGGUAUCUCUGGGCCCACUCGGUAAUGCAUCAUCAUAAUGAGCUCUAUGUGACUAAGGCGUUAGUCACGGGAUCAUGCAUUGUGGUAUGAGUAAAGAGACUUGCCGGUAACGAGAUUGAACAAGGUAUUGGGAUACCGACGAUCGAAUCUCGGGCAAGUAACAUACCGAUUGACAAAGGGAAUUGCAUACGGGAUUGAUUGAAUCCUCGACACCGUGGUUCAUCCGAUGAGAUCAUCGUGGAACAUGUGGGAGCCAACAUGGGUAUCCAGAUCCCGCUGUUGGUUAUUGACCGGAGAGGCGUCUCGGUCAUGUCUGCAUGUCUCCCGAACCCGUAGGGUCUACACACUUAAGGUUCGGUGACGCUAGGGUUGUAGAGAUAUGUGUAUGCGGAAACCCGAAAGUUGUUCGGAGUCCCGGAUGAGAUCCCGGACGUCACGAGGAGUUCCGGAAUGGUCCGGAGGUGAAGAAUUAUAUAUAGGAAGUCAAGUUUCGGCCACCGGGAAAGUUUCGGGGGUUACCGGUAUUGUACCGGGACCACUAGAAGGGUCCCGGGGGUCCACCGGGUGGGGCCACCUAUCCCGGAGGGCCCCUUGGGCUGAAGUGGGAAGGGAACCAGCCCCUAGUGGGCUGGGCGCCCCCCCAUGGGCCUCCCCCCAUGCGCCUAUGGUUGCAAACCCUAGGGUGGGGGGGGGGGGCUUCCCACUUGCCUNNNNNNNNNNNNNNNNNNNNNNNNNNNNNNNNNNNNNNNNNNNNNNNNNNNNACCCUAGAUGGGUUUUAGCCGGCGCCCCCCCCCCUCCCAGGGGGCCUAUAUAAAGGGGGGGAGGGAGGGCAGCAACAUCUUAGCCAUGGGCGCCUCCCUCCUCCCCUGCUACACCUCUCUCUCUCGUAGAAGCUCGGCGAAGCCCUGCCGGCAUCCCGCUACAUCCACCACCACGCCGUCGUGCUGCUGGAUCUCCAUCAACCUCUCCUUCCCCCUUGCUGGAUCAAGAAGGAGGAGACGUCGCUGCACCGUACGUGUGUUGAACGCGGAGGUGCCGUCCGUUCGGCACUCGGUCAUCGGUGAUUUGGAUCACGGCGAGUACGACUCUGUCAUCCACGUUCAUUGGAACGCUUCCGCUCGCGAUCUACAAGGGUAUGUAGAUGCACUCCUUUCCCCUCGUUGCUAGUAUGCUCCAUAGAUGCAUCUUGGUGAGCGUAGGAAAAUUUUAAAAUUAUGCUACGAUUACCAACAGUGGCAUCAUGAGCCAGGCCUAUGCGUAGUUACUAUGCACGAGUAGAACACAAAGAAGUUGUGGGCGUUGAUGUUGCCAAUUCUUCUUGCCGCUACUAGUCGUAUCUUGUUUCGGCGGCAUUGUAGGAUGAAGCAGCCCGGACCGACCUUACACGUACGCUUACGUGAGACAGGUUCCACCGACUGACAUGCACUAGUUGCAUAAGGUGCCUAGCGGGUGUCUGUCUCUCCUACUUUAGUCGGAACGGAUUCGAUGAAAAGGGUCCUUAUGAAGGGUAAAUAGAAAUUGGCAAAUCACGUUGUGGUCAUACGUAGGUAAGAAACGUUCUUGCUAGAAACCUACAAACCACGUAAAAACUUGCAACAACAAUUAGAGGACGUCUAACUUGUUUUUGCAGCAUGUGUGAUGUGAUGUGAUAUGGCCAGAAGAUGUGAUGAAUGAUAUAUGUGAUGUAUGAGAUUGAUCAUAUUCUUGUAAUAGGAAUCACGACUUGCAUGUCGAUGAGUAUGACAACCGGCAGGAGCCAUAGGAGUUGUCUUUAUUAUUUUGUAUGACCUGCGUGUCAUUAAAUAACGCCAUGUAAAUUACUUUACUUUGUUGCUAAACGCGUUAGCCAUAGAAGUAGAAGUAAUCGUUGGCGUGAUGACUUCAUGAAGACACAAUGAUGGAGAUCAUGGUGUCAUGCCGGUGACGAAGAUGAUCAUGGUGCCCCGAAGAUGGAGAUCAAAGGAGCAUAAUGAUAUUGGCCAUAUCAUGUCACUAUUUGAUAGCAUGUGAUGUUUAUCAUGUUUUGCAUCUUAUUUGCUUAGAACGAUGGUAGUAAGUAAGAUGAUCCCUUAUGAUAAUUUCAAGAAAAGUGUUCCCCCUAACUGUGCACCGUUGCGAAGGUUCGUUGUUUCGAAGCACCACGUGAUGAUCGGGUGUGAUAGAUUCUAACGUUCGAAUACAACGGGUGUUGACGAGCCUAGCAUGUACAGACAUGGCCUCGGAACACACGCAAUACACUUAGGUUGACUUGACGAGCCUAGCAUGUACAGACAUGGCCUCGGAACACGGAGGACCGAAAGGUCGAGCAUGAGUCGUAUAGAAGAUACGAUCAACAUGGAGAUGUUCACCGAUCUUGACUAGUCCGUCUCACGUGAUGAUCGGACACGGCCUAGUUAACUCGGAUCAUGUUUCACUUAGAUGACUAGAGGGAUGUCUAUCUGAGUGGGAGUUCAUUGAAUAAUUUGAUUAGAUGAACUUAAUUAUCAUGAACUUAGUCUAAAAUCUUUACACUAUGUCUUGUAGAUCAAAUGGCCAACGUUGUCCUCAAUUUCAACGCGUUCCUAGAGAAACCAAGCUGAAAGAUGAUGGCAGCAACUAUACGGACUGGGUCCGGAACCUGAGGAUCAUCCUCAUAGUAGCCAAGAAAGAUUAUGUCUUAGAAGCACCGCUAGGUGAUGCACCAAUCCCACAGAACCAAGACGUUAUGAACGCUUGGCAGCAGCGUGCUGAUGAUUACUCCCUCGUUCAGUGCGGCAUGCUUUACAGCCUAGAACCGGGUCUCCAAAAGCGUUUUGAGAAACAUGGAGCAUAUGAGAUGUUCGAGGAGCUGAAAUUAGUUUUCCAAGCUCAUGCCCGGGUCGAGAGAUAUGAAGUCUACGACAAGUUCUUCAGCUGUAAAAUGGAGGGAAAUAGUUCUGUAAGUGAGCACAUACUCAGAAUGUCUGGGUUGCACAACCGCUUGACUCGGCUGGGAGUUAAUCUCCCAGAUGACGCGGUCAUUGACAGAAUCCUUCAGUCGCUUCCUACAAGCUUCAAGAGCUUUGUGAUGAACUACAAUAUGCAGGGGAUGGAAAAGACCAUUCCUGAGGUAUAUUCGAUGCUGAAAUCAGCGGAGGUGGAAAUCAGAAAAGAACAUCAAGUGUUGAUGGUGAAUAAAACCACUAAGUUCAAGAAGGGCAAGGGUAAGAAGAACUUCAAGAAGGACGGCAAGGGAGUUGCCGCGCCCGGUAAACCAGUUACUGGGAAGAAGUCAAAGAAUGGACCCAAGCCUGAAACUGAGUGCUUUUAUUGCAAGGGAAGUGGUCACUGGAAGCGGAACUGCCCCAAAUACUUAGCGGAAAAGAAGGCCGGCAACACCAAAGGUAUAUGUGAUAUACAUGUAAUUGAUGUGUACCUUACCAGUACUCGUAGUAGCUCCUGGGUAUUUGAUACCGGUGCGGUUGCUCAUAUUUGUAACUCAAAACCGGAACUACGGAAUAAACGGAGACUGGCGAAGGACGAGGUGACGAUGCGCGUCGGGAAUGGUUCCAAGGUCGAUGUGAUCGCCGUCGGCACGCUACCUCUGCAUCUACCUACGGGAUUAGUUUUAAACCUUAAUAAUUGUUAUUUAGUGCCAGCUUUGAGCAUGAACAUUGUAUCUGGAUCUCGUUUAAUUCGAGAUGGCUACUCAUUUAAAUCCGAGAAUAAUGGUUGUUCUAUUUAUUUGAGAGAUAUAUUUUAUGGUCAUGCCCCGCUGGUCAAUGGUUUAUUCUUGAUGAAUCUCGAACGUGAUGUUACACAUAUUCAUAAUGUGAAUACCAAAAGAUGUAAAGUUGAUAACGAUAGUCCCACAUAUCUGUGGCACUGCCGCCUUGGUCACAUUGGUGUCAAGCGCAUGAAGAAGCUCCAUGCAGAUGGACUUUUGGAGUCUCUUGAUUACGAAUCAUUUGACACGUGCGAACCAUGCCUCAUGGGUAAGAUGACCAAGACUCCGUUCUCCGGAACAAUGGAGCGAGCAACCAACUUAUUGGAAAUCAUACAUACCGAUGUGUGCGGUCCAAUGAGUGUUGAGGCUCGCGGAGGAUAUCGUUUCUCACUCUCACUGAUGAUUUAAGUAGAUAUGGGUAUGUCUACCUAAUGAAGCACAAGUCUGAAACCUUUGAAAAGUUCAAGGAAUUUCAGAGUGAGGUUGAGAAUCAACGUGACAGGAGAAUAAAAUUCUUACGAUCAGAUCGUGGUGGAGAAUAUUUAAGUCAUGAAUUUGGUGCACAUUUAAGGAAAUGUGGAAUAGUUUCACAACUCACGCCGCCUGGAACACCUCAGCGAAAUGGUGUGUCCGAACGUCGUAAUCGCACUCUAUUGGAUAUGGUGCGAUCUAUGAUGUCUCUUACCGAUUUACCGCUCUCAUUUUGGGGCUAUGCUUUAGAGACUGCCGCAUUCACUUUAAAUAGGGCUCCGUCGAAAUCCGUUGAGACGACACCGUAUGAAUUAUGGUUUGGGAAGAAACCUAAGCUGUCGUUUCUAAAAGUUUGGGGAUGCGAUGCUUAUGUCAAGAAACUUCAACCUGAAAAGCUCGAACCCAAGUCGGAGAAAUGCGUCUUCAUAGGAUACCCUAAGGAAACGAUUGGGUAUACCUUCUACCUCAGAUCCGAAGGCAAGAUCUUCGUUGCCAAGAACGGGUCCUUUCUGGAGAAGGAGUUUCUCUCGAAAGAAUUGAGUGGGAGGAAAGUGGAACUUGAUGAGUUGAUAGUCACCCCUUCCGAACCGGAAAGUAGCGCAGCGCGGGAAAAUGUUCCUGUGGUGCCUACACCGACUGGGGAGGAAGUUAAUGAUUAUGAUCAUGAAGCUUCGGAUCAAGUUACUGAACUUCGUAGGUCCACAAGGACACGUUCCGCACCAGAGUGGUACGGCAACCCUGUCCUGGAAAUCAUGUUGUUAGACAACGGUGAACCUUCGAACUAUGAAGAAGCGAUGGCGGGCCCGGAUUCCGACAAAUGGCUAGAAGCCAUGAAAUCCGAGAUAGGAUCCAUGUAUGAAAACGUAGUAUGGACUUUGACUGACUUGCCCGAUGAUCGGCGAGCCGUAGAAAAUAAAUGGAUCUUUAAGAAGAAGACGGACGCGGAUGGUAAUGUGACCAUCUACAAAGCUCGACUUGUCGCUAAGGGUUAUCGACAAGUUCAAGGGGUUGACUACGAUGAGACUUUCUCACCCGUAGCGAAGCUGAAGUCCGUCCGAAUCAUGUUAGCAAUUGCCGCAUACUAUGAUUAUGAGAUAUGGCAGAUGGAUGUCAAAACGACAUUCCUUAACGGCUUCCUUAAGGAAGAGUUGUAUAUGAUGCAGCCGGAAGGUUUUGUCGAUCCUAAGAAUGCUAACAAAGUAUGCAAGCUCCAGCGCUCAAUCUAUGGGCUGAUGCAAGCAUCUCGGAGUUGGAACAUUCGCUUUGAUGAGAUGAUCAAAGCGUUUGGGUUUACACAGACUUAUGGAGAAGCCUGUGUUUACAAGAAAGUGAGUGGGAGCUCUGUAGCAUUUCUCAUAUUAUAUGUGGAUGACAUAUUAUUGAUGGGAAAUGAUAUAGAAUUCUUGGAAAGUAUAAAGGCCUAUUUGAAUAAGUGUUUUUCAAUGAAGGACCUUGGAGAAGCUGCUUAUAUAUUAGGCAUCAAGAUCUAUAGAGAUAGAUCAAGACGCCUCAUUGGUCUUUCACAAAGUACAUACCUUGACAAGAUAUUGAAGAAGUUCAAUAUGGAUCAGUCCAAGAAGGGGUUCUUGCCUGUAUUGCAAGGUGUGCAGUUGAGCACGACUCAAUGCCCGACCACGGCAGAAGAUAGAGAAAAGAUGAGUGUCAUCCCCUAUGCCUCGGCCAUAGGGUCUAUUAUGUAUGCCAUGCUGUGUACCAGACCUGAUGUAAACCUUGCCGUAAGUUUGGUAGGAAGGUACCAAAGUAAUCCCGGCAUGGAACACUGGACAGCGGUCAAGAAUAUCCUGAAGUACCUGAAGAGGACUAAGGAUAUGUUUCUCGUUUAUGGAGGUAACGAAGAGCUCGUCGUAAAGGGUUACGUCGACGCUAGCUUCGACACAGAUCUGGAUGACUCGAAGUCACAAACCGGAUACGUGUAUAUUUUGAAUGGAGGAGCAGUAAGCUGGUGCAGUUGCAAGCAAAGCGUCGUGGCGGGAUCUACAUGUGAAGCGGAGUAUAUGGCGGCCUCGGAGGCAUCGCAGGAAGCAGUCUGGAUGAAGGAGUUCAUUACCGACCUAGGGGUGAUUCCCAAUGCGUCGGGCCCGAUGACUCUCUUCUGUGACAACACUGGAGCUAUUGCCCUUGCGAAGGAGCCCAGGUUUCACAGGAAGACCAGUCAUAUCAAGCGUCGCUUCAACUCCAUUCGUGAAAGUGUUCAAAAUGGAGACAUAGAUAUUUGUAAAGUACAUACGGACCUGAAUGUAGCAGAUUCGUUGACUAAACCUCUCCCUAGAGCAAAACAUGAUCAACACCAGGACGCAAUGGGUGUUCGAUUCAUCACAAUGUAACUAGAUUAUUGACUCUAGUGCAAGUGGGAGACUAUUGGAAACAUGCCCUAGAGGCAAUAAUAAAUGGUUAUUAUUAUAUUUCUUUGUUCAUGGUAAUUGUCUAUUGUUCAUGCUAUAAUUGUAUUGUCCGGAAAUCGUAAUACAUGUGUGAAUACAUAGACCACAACGUGUCCCUAGUAAGCCUCUAGUUGACUAGCUCGUUGAUCAACUGAUAGUCAUGGUUUCCUGACUAUGGACAUUGGAUGUCGUUGAUAACGGGAUCACAUCACUAGGAGAAUGAUGUGAUGGACAAGACCCAAUCCUAAGCAUAGCAUAAAAGAUCGUGCAGCUUCGCUUGCUAGAGCUUUUCCAAUGUCAAGUAUCUUUUCCUUAGACCAUGAGAUCGUGCAACUCCCGGAUACCGUAGGAGUGCUUUGGGUGUGCCAAACGUCACAACGUAACUGGGUGACUAUAAAGGUGCACUACGGGUAUCUCCGAAAGUGUCUGUUGGGUUAGCACGGAUCGAGACUGGGAUUUGUCACUCCGUGUGACGGAGAGGUAUCUCUGGGCCCACUCGGUAAUGCAUCAUCAUAAUGAGCUCUAUGUGACUAAGGCGUUAGUCACGGGAUCAUGCAUUGCGGUACGAGUAAAGAGACUUGCCGGUAACGAGAUUGAACAAGGUAUUGGGAUACCGACGAUCGAAUCUCGGGCAAGUAACACACCGAUUGACAAAGGGAAUUGCAUACGGGAUUGAUUGAAUCCUCGACACCGUGGUUCAUCCGAUGAGAUCAUCGUGGAACAUGUGGGAGCCAACAUGGGUAUCCAGAUCCCGCUGUUGGUUAUUGACCGGAGAGGCGUCUCGGUCAUGUUUGCAUGUCUCCCGAACCUGUAGGGUCUACACACUUAAGGUUCAGUGACGCUAGGGUUGUAGAGAUAUUUGUAUGCGGAAACCCGAAAGUUGUUCGGAGUCCCGGAUGAGAUCCCGGACGUCACGAGGAGUUCCGGAAUGGUCCGGAGGUGAAGAAUUAUAUAUAGGAAGUCAAGUUUCGGCCACCGGGAAAGUUUCGGGGGUUACCGGUAUUGUACCGGGACCACCGGAAGGGUCCCGGGGGUCCACCGGGUGGGGCCACCUAUCCCGGAGGGCCCCGUGGGCUGAAGUGGGAAGGGAACCAGCCCCUAGUGGGCUGGGCGCCCCCCAUGGGCCUCCCCCCAUGCGCUUAGGGUUGCAAACCCUAGGGUGGGGGGCUUCCCACUUGCCUUGGGGGGCAAGGCACCCCCUUGGCCGCCGCCCCCCACCCUAGAUGGGUUUUGGCCGGCGCCCCCCUCCCAGGGGGCCUAUAUAAAGGGGGGGGAGGGCAGCAACAUCUUAGCCUUGGGCGCCUCCCUCCUCCCCUGCUACACCUCUCUCUCUCGUAGAAGCUCGGCGAAGCCCUGCCGGCAUCCCGCUACAUCCACCACCAUGCCGUCGUGCUGCUGGAUCUCCAUCAACCUCUCCUUCCCCCUUGCUGGAUCAAGAAGGAGGAGACGUCGCUGCACCGUACGUGUGUUGAACGCGGAGGUGCCGUCCGUUCGGCACUCGGUCAUCGGUGAUUUGGAUCACGGCGAGUACGACUCCGUCAUCCACGUUCAUUGGAACGCUUCCGCUCGCGAUCUACAAGGGUAUGUAGAUGCACUCCUUUCCCCUCGUUGCUAGUAUGCUCCAUAGAUGCAUCUUGGUGAGCGUAGGAAAAUUUUAAAAUUAUGCUACGAUUACCAACAUGCUCGACAGACGCCUCAGCAAGAAACCUUCUUUUAGCCAAGUCCCUUAGACCUCUGCUAUUCCAAAAGAUUCCUUUCAUAGUUCAUCGUAGAAUUUUUUUGCCGAACGCAUCCUAGCACUCCUACGCACUGCGGACAACGGGUAAACCUUUCGUUUCCACUUGCACUUUGGGAUAGCUUGACUCUGCAACUGGUCCUCAUACCCAGUGUCAGAGGGGCAUGCCAAAACUAUGUCAGUAGAAACAUCCUCUACCUCCGCCUCAGAACUAGGAGGCAAAAGAUCCGCACAAAAAUUGUCAAGCACCCUGACCCCGAGCGCAUCAACCUCCGAAUCACACAUGGGUUCAACAGCCGCAAUAUUGCGAAUCAUCUCUAAGGCCCACUCAGCCUCUAGGUCAAGUAGAUCAUUAAUAGAAUUAGUAAUUUCAGUUUCAUUACUACCUAGAGAAACUCCUAAUUGAUUUGCAUUAUCAAGAAUCUCAUCAUUUGAAAAAUGCAAAAUGGAAUUAGAAGUAUUGACCGACAUACCAGUAGUGACCUCGACAUCACGAAGCUUGGCCGCCCUCAUGGCGCACCGUUGCUGAAUGUCGUCCACAUCCGGAUGUGCCUGGAGACGGUCACUCACCCAGCGCCCCUCAGACAUGGGAUCCUGGAUCCCACCAAACGCAAUGACCUCCUCCCGAGAGAUCGCGGAUGGGGUACGGCCUCCUGCCUCACCCCAACCCGCAGUCCGAGCGACCUGCAUGGGCUUCCCCACAGCCGCGCCAGUAGGAGGACGGGACGCCUGGCGCGCCCCACCAGACGGGGCCGUCACCGAGGGUGGUGGAGACAUAGCCAGCACCGCCCGUCCUAGCUCCCCAACCUGCACCGGAGAGGCUACCACCAUAGGAGAAAGCUCCGAAGCCACCUGCCCCAAGCCCACUCCCGAAGGCGAAGCCGGCACCAACCGAGAGGAAGAUGCAACGGGAGAAGAAGUAUCCGAGUCCUCCUGACCCGGACCUCCUCCCAACGAAGAAGAGGAUACGGGAGCCACCUUCCCCGCAUCCCCUUCCUCAGCACAAAAAGAGCAACCCGAAACCGCCUGGCCUAUGGCUCCUCCCGGCACACCAGGCCCGGUAAGCUGCGGCAUCUCCUGAGGGGGAACCGCGCGCUGACCAGAAGAGGGAGUGGCCACCUACCGACUCACCUCCUCCGCCCCCCUGACCGAAAGUGAUGAAACCCCGAAAUCCCCAGAACCCGAGUCCACAGCAUCCAGAAAAUCAAAAGCAGGCAAAGCGAGCUCAAAGGCCUCCUUGGACUCAACCCGAUCGCUCCACAACCUCGGCAGUGCAGAAAAAGGUUCGAAGGAUCCAAAUCUCAACGACGUCGAAGGCACCGAGGAGGGUUGGGCAGCUCCAUCCCCGGUCGUCGCGGUCUCGGACCCCGUCCCCAUGGACAGCUGUCGUCCAGAGUCCUCGACCGGCGGUUCCUGAACUCCCGCGCCACCGUCACCCUCAUUCAUAUCAACGUCAGACACGUGAGCCGGCGCAGACAGAAGGCUCUCGUCCUCAAACUCAAUAACCAGAUUAUAAAUCCUGCCUCGAUAAGCCCACUUAACCACUUCCGGCACAUACUCAACGUUCAGAAUACUGACCAGAACCCGAGCAAUCCCUUGAGCUCUGGUGAAAGCCAUGUCCACACGCUCAGGCUUCCCCACAAGAAUGCCCAAACUGGCCACAACCCGAGCAUCCUGCAGUGGAGAGGAAGGUGCCCCGGAAAAGCGUAGCCACGCUUGCGUAAGCGGUACGCCCUGAGGCUCAACAAGCUUCCAUUCCUGAAACUCAAGGAUACCAUCAGUACCCGGCACCUUACACAUCCCAAAACUCAGCAACCUCUGCAGAUCCUCCACAGACGGGCACUCGACCCUGAACAUCUUAUCAGCAAGACCGACAAGGUCCCACUGGAAAUCCCCAGGAGCCAGCUCUCGAAGCCUCUGCACGAUCUGUGCCUCAGACACCUCCCCUCUGGUGACAUUGACAAUCCCCGUGGUCUUACUCGGAGACUCGUCAGGCACCUCGUGCUCAGUCGGAGACUCGAAAAAAGUUAGCUCAGCACAGUAUACUCCAUACAUCAUGAGUGAAGGUGUCUGAUCGCGCAGUAACGGACAAUCCCCAGAUUCAUGUGCCAGUUUACCACACAUAUCACAUAAACGUGCCACACACUCCGCAAUGAAGUGACCCUUGUCUCUGCAACGAUAACAAAGCAUCUUUUCUUUCCUGCGCGCCCACUUGGACGCUCUAUCAGACUCAGCCCUGUCCAUCAUCUCCGCGGACACAUCAGGCAUAACCUCAUUCUCAGGAACCGGAGCAGAAGCAAGAGCCGUCACUACCUCCAUAGCGUGAUCGGACAACACAGGCUCCUCUGCAGCCCCGCUAUCAGUCAUAUGCUCGACAACGACCGGUGGUGGCGGCGGUCGUGGACGGUACCGGCCCCCUCGCCCGCCCCGACCACCACGAUGCCCACGGAAGCCACCACGCUGUCUAGAAUCGGGACCAGAAGCACCCUCAACAAAACCACCCUGGGGUCCCAGGAACGGUCGCUCGGCCGAACCGUCGCUCUGCCAAGCGUAACCUCGGCCGCCACCCGUCGACGACGAUCCACGGUGCACACCUGCCCCAUAUGCGUCAAAACCAUCGUCUCCCCAUUGUGCCCGAGGCGCGGCAUUAGCACCAGCCACAGGUUUGGUGACGAAGUGGGGUGGCGGUGCUUGCCUAGGCAGAUGUCCCACAGCCCCCGUCGCCCCCGUCGUUGGCGGCUUAGUCGCCGUGCCGCCCCGACCCACAGCACCACCAGUCUGCCCACCACGACUAGGCGCCAAACCCGAGGCCGCAAUCACCGGUACGCGAGCUCCGGCAGACGCCGUGGCACCACGCCCCACGGCCGCACCCGGCAACGUUCCGCCGCGCCCUCCCACGAGCGGCACGGGGGGCACCGCGCCCCGGCCAGCUCCACGACCGGAGGCAGUAGAUGGCGGCGGCACAGCAGUCACCGCAGCGCGGCCACCGCCCGGCGCAGUCCCAGCGCGACCCGUCCCAGGGAGCUCGGCCGGUCUCUUCCCCGCCACACCACGUCCCGCCACACCACUAGCCAUCCCCUAUAUAUAAUGGAGUAAACUUAAAUUUGGCUCAUACAUUUCGUUGAACACUUACUAUGUGCCUCAGCGGUGAGUGACAACCAUGGUGACUACACCGGUGGCGAGCAGCAGCAGCAGAAGAACGCAGCUGGGUCGUGAUAUUUUAAUUCGAAGAAAAGAAGAAGAAGAAGAUCGAUCGAUGGAUGGUGCAGUUGACUUGUACAAAACUUUUAUAGUACACGCGCCUUGGCGUACACACCUAUAGGGUGAACAGUGGUCGCAUGAUAACAUUAAAAAAGUACUAACCUAUCCUAUAUCAGUAUCCACGUCGCUUCGCCUUCUUCUUGUAACGGAGGCAAAAGACCUGUCUCAUCUCACUAAUAAUGGAGAAGGGGUAAACGAAUCUCAAGGUUCAGAGAGGUCCAAAACACCUCUCACAAAAAGAUAAACAAAAGACUACUAUCACGACAUCAAAGAGCUCAAAUUUUUUGCCCUUAUGAGGACCCAAUUAUUCCGCGCCUCUGUCCUGAUAUUAGCAAUGAUGGUUGUGAGCAAAAUCGAUUUAUUUCAGAAGACGCGUGCAUUUCUUUCGUUCCAUAGCUUCCAGGUGACAAGCAUAACGAGCAAGGCGAUGGCCUUCCUCCUGUGACCGGGCGAGAGGGUCGUCAAACUCCACCACGCAUGGACCGAAGCCAAGUCUCCCAAUCCGCAAUAACCAGCUCGGGCACAUCGAACAAGCCAUUGACACCCACAAAAAAUAGGAACAAGCAAUUUACAGCCGCCCAAACUUUGAAGGAGCAUCAACACUUGAAGAAAAUGUGCACAGCUGUUCCCUCCUACAAAGUUGGCAUAGAGCACAAUUUGGCCAUCCCUGCCUUGCCGGCGACCAAUAGUCCAGACCCUAUUCUUGAUGAGAAGCCAGACAAAGAACUUACACUUGGGCGACGCCCAAUUUCUCCAAACAGCCACGACCAUGGUGGUCAAGACUACUCCCUCGUACUGUGCCUUGUACGCGGAUGCGGUCGAGUAGACACCGCUAGUAGAAAGGUUCUAGGGUGCACAGUAUGAAGCUGGGCCCAGAGAGUGGAGUUCUUCGAUAUAUGUGACACUGAGACCAUCACACAUGUCAAUCCAGAAGGUCCAAACAAGGUCAUGCAAUGCGCCGUGAGCAAGAGACGUUUUUCUUCUUUGAGAUGCGGAAGAUCGCAGGGGCAAUGUCUCUGGGCUUUGCACUGUUGUGUCAUGGGCAGUGCCAAAAUUUUAUUAUGCGGCCGUCACUAGAUGUGAUGGUGGUUACUCCUAGAAAAGAUUCACGCAUACCGGUGCUAUCACAGGCAUACCCAAGCCAGCCCACACUAUGUCAGGGUCCUUCCAUUCGUAUAUAUCAAGGCUUCCACAGCGCAUAGCAGCAUCCAAAUCGUAAUUACGUUUUAGUGUACCCUUUCUAAAUCUGCUCAAAAUGUUGACAUCUUGUUCCACUAAAGAUAAAUACAGUCAUCAUCGCACCUUUGGAUGUCGACACAUGUUCAAAGCUUAAUCACAAAGCUAUCUUCUUUUUUGUUUCCAAUAUUAAUUGUACCUUGUACUUCCAUUUUUACACCUUAUUAUUGUUUUGAAAGGAAACUAUUCUAAUCACGGAGUGGCAUGACAAGUGUUCCCCACAUCACUAAUUAAUUUCGUCCCUUGUGCUCAUAAGUCCAUCAUCGUCAUCACAUACUAGAAAGAGAAAUAUGAGAAGCACUAGGCCGAUCCAUAAACUUUGUCCUAUUUGAAAACUACGAGAAAAUCUGUACUACAUUGCAUAAGCAAGAACAAAAUCUAUAUACUAUGUUGCUACCACACACUUUGCCCCGUUGAUUUGAAAUAUGAGAAAUAAUUAGAUUCUGAUGGUGGAUAGGAUUGAUUUUGAAGACUCGCAAAGUACUGACUCGAACAAUUCGAUUUUUGGAAGAGUUGGAAGAAACUGUGAAACAUUACUGGAUUCCUGCAAUGAACAUUUCUUUCCUUGCUUAUUCUCAGUGGCCACCCUUUUACUACUCUGUUUUUCUUAUUGUUGUAUUCUACCAUACCGUUGCAGAAUAACUAGAACCUUACCAAAGUCUCGACUAGGGGUUUAUCCUGAAAUGGCCCAAACAAGAGAUUAGACAAUGACACAUUUUUUUUCUUUUUCAAACAACCACCUGUAGGCUAUAGCACCGACUUAUUUGUCCAACAUCGCGUCAACAAAAUCUAAAGCUACUUUUCACAAAAAGGAAAGCUGAUGUUGGUUUAAUUCCACACACGUGGACUACCAGCCAUUUUAAAAAUCAUGAGAAAAUUGUUACAUUCGUACAUAUGUAUGCUUAGUCACUGUAAAAUGGAUGACGUAUAAAAUAGUUGGUAUUCUUAAUUAGAAGAAUCAUGACAAAUUCCUGCUUUAAAUCUUUGAUUGCAUGCAACAACUGACCGACACUCGCAUGUACGUUUGCCACAGCUUGGAGGUCACUGGAAAAUCCACCAAGGCCCUAGGCCAUAGCAUCAGCUAGAAGGCCACACCGAGUUAGUUACUAUGAUAGCAAUCCAUGUAGCAAAUCUGCCGGAGGUUGUUUUCAGUUCUAAUUGAUAUUUUCCCAUGGUACAAUAUAGUAUAUGGCAAAACUGAUGGGCAUGCUCAAGAGAGAUAAGUAAAGUGGGGAUUGGGUAAUAAAUGAUAUAGCUAUAGUAUGUAGAUGGUGGAGAUAAUGGUUGUGAAAGAGAAUAUAAUCAUAUAUAGUGUGUCACAAUAAUAGUAUAUGUGACCAAACUGCAGCAGCGCCAUAACAAAAUCAUGUCACCCUAGUCUAGUUCACGUCAAAAAUUUAUUUUUCUGCAAGUUAAAUCUUUAAUUAGUUCCCAUGUCCAAAGUUUUGGAUAUCGGAUGUAAAUAAAUCUGAUGGAGCACCGGGAUUUAAAGUUACCGUGGUAACUGAAAAAUGUUGAGCGGUUAAUGAACGAUUUUUUGAAUGAAUUUCGAAUCCAAUAAAAUUUAUUCAAAUUAAAAAAUUCAGGAUAUUUUUGCUCAGUAUGGCGAUUGCUUGUGGGAUACUGAGAUUUGCAGUUGUUGGGCUGUAACCAAAUUUGCCACCCGCUAGCCAAAACCUUGCCUGUCAUUUUCGUCACCUUCUUCUUCGGCUGGGAUUGAUGGCUAGGCACACACGUAUCCACUUUCCACAAAUGAAACUACUAGGUUUACACAAGUUAGUACUAAAUAAAUUUUAAUUGGCAUUGCACUGCAGAAGUUUACAUUUGCGUCUUAAUUAUGAGCUUGCAUUCCUGCCAUGUUUUAAAAGUGGAAACUAUGUCUUGGUGUAGCAUUUCUAAACCUGGUCAAAAUGUCCACAUCUUGUUCCACUAAAUAUAAACGUACUCAUCAUGGCCACAUUUACAUCUUUUCCACGAAAGAUUAAUUGUUCCUUGUACUUCCAUUUUUACACCUUAUUAUUGCCCAGAACUGAAACUCUAGCUAAUCACAUAGUGGCACGUUAAGUGAUUCGCACAUCACUAACUCGUUCUCUCUCUCUCUUUUGCUCAUAAGUCCAUCAUCGACAUCACGUAUACUAGAAAAAGAAAUCAAGGCAAGAACCCUAGAUCAAUCCAUGUACUUUGUCCUAUCUGAAAAAUAUGAGAGAAUCUAUACUACAUUGCAUCAGCAAGAACAUAACUAUAUACUACACUACUACCUCAUACUUUGUCCGGUUGAUUUGAAAUAUGAGAAUCUUUUAGAUUCCGACAGAUAGGAUUGAUUUUGAAGAUUCACAUAGUACUCACUCAAACAGUUAUAUUCUUGCAGGGGUUAGGAGAAUUGUGUGGUAAAAUGUAAUUAAAUCGAUCAUGAGCACUAUGAAACAUUAUAGGAUACCUAAUGACCAUUUAUUUCCUUCCUUUAGAUGUCCACGUAAUUCAAUCUUUGUUUUCAAUGACCACCUCUUACUACUGUGCUUUUUUCUCUAGUGCACCACGCUAUUGACGAAAACUGAAACCUGUGCCAAAUUCUUUACUGCUAGGAGGGUAUCCUAAAAUGGCACAAGCGAGAGAUUAGACAACAACGCAUUUUUUUUCUUUCUCACUCCACAAUGCUACUCGACAACAACCACCUAUAGGAUAUAGCACCGUAUAAUUUGUCCAUCAUCGUGUCAGCAAAAUCUAAAGCUACUUAUUCUAAAAAAUACUUAAAAAAGGAAAGUUGAUGCAUAGAAUUGAAGAUUAGUCGCUGUAAAAUGCAUAAGGAUGACACAGGAAAUAGUUGGAUUCUUUGAAUAAUCAUGAGAAAUUCCUGCUCUAAUUUUGAUUAGUACGUGCAAGAAAACACUCGUACGCACGUUUGCCACAGCUUGCAGCUCACUAUAAAAGCCCCAAAGGUCCCCAGGCCAUAACACCAGCUAGAAGCCACACCAGGUAAGUCAAAGACCAGACACCAGACCACUUCACUCCACGUCCAAAUGGCGAUGACUCUCGAAGAAGUGCUCUCCAAGCAGGCUGCCGACCUAGCCGCCAUCUCGCCGGCGCCGGUGAGGAAGGCCGUGGAUGCACUGGCGCGCAGCAGCCACGCCCGCGCUGCCGCCGAUGCCCUGGUCUACCUCUCUGUGGGCACGACCUGCACGAUGUUCGCGGCCGCCUUCCUCACCAUCUUCGCGGACCUGGCCUGCGCCCGCGGCUGGGGCUGCACCCCGGCCUAUAUCCUGUCCGAGAUAGCAGACUAUCUAUCCACACCUGUCCUGCUUCUCCUGCCGCCGGCGCUCGUGCUCUUCUUCCUCCGCGCCGCCGGCUGCAGGACCAAGGUACGUACGUGCUCAUCACUCACUCUGCUCCAUGGUUCUGCUUCCCGUGAUGCUGAUGAAUUCACUGUGUAAUGUGAUAGGCGGCGGCGGACGCGGAGAGCCUCAUCGUGAAGAAUGACGAGGAGCCAACCCUUCUGUCGCCGUCGCCGCUGGCCUUGGCAAUUCUUUGGCUUUUCAUUGGGUCGGCAUCGAUGGGAACCAUCUCUUUCCUUCUUUUUAAGUGUGGACAUACAGAGAUCUCCGACCUUCUCGGCUACGCGGCUCUCUUGUGCACGUUCAUGUGGGAAGCCCUCGUCUAUGUCCGCGCUGCAGUGGCGCUGUGGAGGAUGAAUCCCGGGCCAAGCAACAUGGUGGCUGCAGAGUAGCCCUUGCGCCGGAUCAUCGACUUACUAAGGUAAGUGGCAUUAAUUAAGCUAAGCCGAACAUCAACAUCACACUUUCUCAAAAUUAAGUAUUGUAGCGGAACAUCGAGUGCUUUUGUACCAACAAAUUGGUAGAAGAUGAUGCGAGUAUAUGUUAAGUCAAGUACAGUAGUACUCCCUCUGUCCCAUAAUAUAAGAACGUUUUUGACACUAUACUAAUGUCAAAAACGUUUUUAUAUUAUGGGACGGAGGGAGUAGAAUUUAUCAGUCGGUUGGUUCUCCGUGUUUGUUAUCAACUGAAUGUGUAAUUGUUGUCAUCAGUUAUCACAAAGCUCCAAUGCUAAUCGAGUGCUUUUGUACCAACAAAUUGGUAGAAGAGGAUGCAAGUAUAUGUUAAGUCAAAUACAGUAGUCUAGAAUUUAUCCGUUGGUUGGUUCUCCACGUUUGCUAUCAACUGAAAGUGUAAUUCUUGUCAUCAGUUAUCAGAAAGGUCCAAUGCUACUCUCUUGUAAACUGCCACGUGUUGGUUGAGAUCAUACAAUAAUAAUUUUUUUUCUUGAUCCUAAUUUUUUGCACUUGAUCUUUCUCUCGUCUCAACUUGAAACACUAUUGAUCCUGAUAUAAUUUCGUCGUUCACCGACCACUAAUUCACUCCACACCCAGUUGGUAGAAGAUGAUGCAAGUAAUGUUCAAGUCAAGUAGUGGAAUGUAUCAGUUGGUUCUGCAUGUUUGGUAUCAACUGAAAGUAUAUAUAAUUGUUGUCAUCAGUCAUCACCAAGCACCAAUGCUACUCUUGUAGUACUAAACUGCCACACGAUGGUAGAGAUUGAUAGGACGAUCUUAUAAUUUUUGUACUUUAUAGUUUCAUUUUGUGCUAAACUGCAAAUGACAUUGAUGUUGACACAAGUUCGUCCUUUAAUCGCCAGGUGCGCAGGAUUUCAAGCCGAAAGCUCCAAGGUGAUGGAGAGUGCUACGCAGUGCAGGAGCGCUGCUGUUUGCCUGUUUCCUACAUCCUUUGAUGCUGUUCUGAAUAAAGAGCGAUGCCGUGUGAUGUGUAGUGAUCUACUAGUACAAUACUAGCUAGUAGUAUGAAGCUUGCUUCAGUUGAUGCUAGUUCAGCGCUGCGCUGAUGCAGUGACUGCAGUGCUAUGGUAGCUUUGGUUGGUGGUUACUCUGAACCGGACCUAUAUCUAACAUAAUGAUUUGUGCCGCUGCAAUUUACCAGUACGUGCCCAUACAUAUGACUAGACGUACGAUCUGAUGCAGAGCGUCCAUUCUAUGUAUGCAAUAAUAGCAUUUUUACCGCCUAUAACUUCGUCCGCGAUUAUAAAUAGCAGGAACGGGAAAGCAGCUAAAAUAGGUUCCUUUUUUACUUCUUUUUUUAAUUUAUGACCAAAGCUAAAAUUGGUUCCUGAUAGUUGUGGGUUUCACAUAUCGUCUUCCGAGAAGGAAGACGUGGUGAUGCACAUGGCCUGCCGACUGCAGCAGCCGAAUGGCAGCUAUGCUACCUGAGAGCAUCUCCAGCCGUUGGCCCCCCAGGGGCGCCUAAAAUCGCCGCCUGGGGUGACCCGGCGAAAAAAAUGGGCCUGGGGACGAGUUGGCCCCCAGCCGCGGGAAAAAAAAUUGUGUAGCAAAUUUACGCAAAGUUCGGCUAAAACACGCCAAAUUUCGGCAAACUUGGGCUUAUAUUCGCGGAUUUAAGUCGAGUAGUCGCCAUUACAUAUAAAAACAAAUAAAAAAAACUUGGUGAAGGCCGAGAAGUCGCCGUCGUCGCCGCCAUCGUCGGCCUUCUCCUCCUUGACUCGGGCGCCCCUGCUGGACCCCUCCCCGGCUGGUGGCGGCGGCGGCGCGUCGUCGUCGUCGUCGCUGUCAUCGAUGAUGACGACUCCUCCUUCGUCGCGGCCUCGGCGGCGCCGCUCGAAGCGCCGCAGGGCGGCGCGCUGGCGCUCCGUCGCCAUCUUGAUGGAGUCCUGGUGUGCCCAUUCAAGGGCCGCGUCAUCGUCGAGCUCGACCUCGCCGUGCUCCGUCUUCACCGGCGCCAGCCCCGGCUCCGUCUUCACCGGCACGAGCCCCGGCUCCGUCUUUGGCUUGACGAAGCGCGGAGGAGGAGCCGACGAGGAGGCGCGCCGGCCGCCCUCGUUGAUGACGAUGCCGGCGCUGCGAGUGCGCCGACCGAGCGGCAUCUCCGCCGCGGGCUCGGCCUUGACGCUGAGCAGCGUCGGAGUGCCGGAGGAGUGGGAGGAGGAGCGGGAGGAGGAAGAGGAGGAGGACGCGCCGAACCUCCUUGGUGCCCAUUGCCCGUCGCGUGGGCGGUGCGCCAGGGCGGCCGCCCUCGGGGGAGGGGGGGGGGGGUACGCCAACGGCGGGUUGUUGCCGCCCUCGAGGUGCGUCAGCACGCCCUCAAGUGUGCGGCCAGGGGCGCCCCACCACAGGUGGCGCCCCUCGCUGUUCUUCACGCCGCCGACCACCGGCGCCCCGUUCGUGGACGCCAGCCGCUGCUGCUGGCGGCGCUCGAAGUACGCCGCCCAAGCCGCGUGGUUGUCGGCGGCGUACUGGGGGAGGGAGAGCUCGGCGUCGGUGAGGGAGGCGCGCACGAUCUCGGCCUCGUCGGCGAAGUAGGAUGGUUUGGCCACGGCGUCGGGCAACGGGGGAAUGGGCACUCCCCCAUUGCUGAGCCUCCAGCCUGUCGACCCGGCGCGCAUGUCCGGCGGCGCCGGGAUGUUCGUCUGGAACAGGAGUCACGACUCCUGUUCGCGGGAAACCGAGGCGUCGGGAGAAGACGAGGCGGACGGUGUCGCUGACGAGGCUGGCCCGCGGCGCUUUCGCGCCAAAAACGAUUCGCCCGGCGCCCCCGAGCGCCCCCAGCGCGCCGGGUUCGGGUUGGGUCCGCCGGCGCCAAUUUCGGCCCGAGCCGGCGAAAAAGGGCCCCUGGGGAUGCGACUGGGCCGAUUUUUGGCGCCGGCGGCAGAAAAAUCGCCGGGGGGGCCUUGUUGGGGGCGCGGCUGGAGAUACUCUGAGGGCGCGUCUAUGUUUCUCUUGACACAAGACACACAUGUGCCUCGCCUCAAGGGUCGCAAGAAUGGGCCGGUCCAAUAGCGUCCCUUCCUUACCUUUAUUUUCUUCGUUCGUUCCCUUGUUUGGUCUAGUUUAUUUGUUCUAUUCGUUUUCCCUUUUUACUUUAUAAAUUUUUGUUAUUUAUAUUAUAUACACAAUUAUGAGUUAAUUUUUUAUAAACGAUCACCGCACAUCUAAAACAUGUUCAUGUAGUGUAAAAGAAUUAUUCGCGGGUUUUCUGUAAAAUGUUCGUACCAUUCAAAAAAAAUGUUCAUGAUAUUUAAAUGGAUAUGAUCAUUAUAUUUUUUAAUGUUCAUGAAAACGUAAAAAAGUGUACAUUGAAUCUGUAAAAAGUGUUUGUAUCAUUUACAAAGUUGUUCAUGACAUUUAUAAAGUGUUUACGUGUUUAAAAAAUAUGUUUCAUGACAUUAUAAAAAAUGUUCUUGAAAUGCAAAAACUUGUUCGCGCAGUUUUAGAAAACUGUUCAUAACAUAUAAAAAACAUGCGUGCCAUUUAAAAAAAUAUCACAAGACAUAAAGAUGUUUGCAGUUUUCUUUAGUGGUGACAUUUUAUUAAUUGUUCAAACAUGUGUUUAAAAAUAUUCAGUGUGUAUUAAAAAGUGAAAAUGUGCAUUUUACAAACGGUCAACAUGUAUUCGAAAAAUGUUUAACGCUCAUUAGAAGAAUGUUCAACUUGUAAAAAAAUGUUCAGCAUGUAUUCAAAUAAAGUCUGACAUGUUUGAAAAAUGGAAACAAAAUGAAAUGCAAAAGAAAAAAUGAAUAGAAACAAACCUCAAGAGAACUAAAAGGAAACAAAUGAAAACCAACAGAGAAAACACACAGAAAAAAAUGUAAAACAAUUAAGAAAAACCAAAAAAAUCUAUGUGAAAGGUUUUAAAACCACCACGUGAUGGUCUAUAGAACCUUCCUAAAGCUGCUCUAUUGGGCAGACCCACUAUAGAAGUCACACAACAAAGUGCAGAGAUGAGACGAUACUACAUGUCGUUGUAAGUAAGAUAUAGCACCGGCGGUCGAUUGCUGAUGGAGCAACGACAGUGUGCAUUGAUGCCAUAGAAAGGGCCGGGAGUGUGUUGAUGAGGCAGGCCUUUAUUGGGUUUAUUUUUCAGUCUUGAUUGAGCGGAGGCACCAAAUUUAUCAAGCUCUCCCAGGCAUCGGAACAGGGGAAAGGCCUACACUAGCGGAAACAUUACCCAAAUAGAAAAUUACCAAGUUGUCUUUGUGGUAAGCUCUCGGCCUCACAAUAUUAACUAUCAGAUCAACUUAAUACUACACCUUAAAAUCUAUAGGAUGAUGUCUUGCCAGUAGGUAACGUGCACAAUAUAAAUGACUUUCACGUUGUAACACAUGGGCCGAUCGUCUCCAUGUGCGGUACACGAGGGGAGUGUGAGCAGGUGGCGUCAGUUGGACAGAUAAAAACGGAGGGGGGAGAAUGUGACAAAGCAGCUAAACCUUUGAAAAAAUAGCAUGGCUGCUCAACAAAUUUGAUGAUCCAUUAAUUUAACAAAGUUACAUGUUGGACUCUGUUUUCGCUCAGAAAUUAUAUAUCACCAUUUUACAAUCUAUAUAUAGCAAAGCUGCUGGGCAUGAGAUAAGUCAAGCUACUGGGCAUGAGAUAAGUCAAGUAGCAGUUGCGUAAUAAAUGAUAGCCAUAGUAGUAGUUGGUGGAGUUUAUGGUUGUGAUAGACAAUAUGGCCAAAUGUAGUGCGUCAAAAUAAUACAUGUGACAAAGUGCAGCACGGCCAUCACAACAUCAUAUCACCGUUCUAAUUCUAGUUCUAACCUUUAGGUCCCUUGUGUCACUUUAGUGACCUUCUUAAAAUGGGAUCGAUGGCUAGGCAUGUUGCUAUUCUCCACAAAUAGACUACUACGAUUACAAAAGUUGAUAUACUAACAACAUUUAAUUAGCAUUGCACCACACAUGUUUCUGGGUGUCCUCUAUGGUUGCAUCUUAUUCAUGAAUUUUCAAUCCUGACAUGCUUUCAACAAGGAGAAACUAUGUCGUAGUGUAGCAUUUCUAAAUCUAGUCAAUAUGUUAACAUCUUGUUCCACUAAAGAUAAAUACACUCGUCACGGGCACGUUUGGGUGUCACCACAGGUUCAAAGCUUAAUCAUAAAGCUAUCCAUUCACUGCAAUUUUAUUUUGUUUUCAUCAUUAAUUUUACCUUGUACUUCCAACUGAAACUCAAGCUAAUCACACAGUGGCAUGAAAAGAGAUUAACCGGACAGUGUUAUUCUCGGAAGAGUUAGGAGAAACCUUUGUGUUUAAAAAUGUAAUUAAAUCUUUCAUGGUCACUAUGAAACAUUACCGGUACCUGUAAUGAAAAUUUUCUUUCCCUUGUUAAUUAAGAUGUCCAUAUAAUUCUGCCUCUAUUCUCAAUGGCCACCUUUUACGACUUUGCUCUUUUCUGUAGCGCACCACACUAUCGCUGAAAAACCGAAACCUUCCCAAAGUCUCUACUAGGAGGGUGUCUUAAAAUGGCAGAAACAAGUGAUUAGACAAUGUUGCGUCCUUGUCGUUCUCACUCCACAAUGCUUGUACUUGACAACAACCACCUAUAGGCUAUAUAUAGCACCGAAUGAUUUUUCCAUCAUCGUGUCAGCAAAAUCUAAAGCUACUUUUCAGAAAAAAGGGAAAGGCGAUACUGGUUUAACACUAGUGCAGAACCGUGCUAUAGCACCGGUUCGUAAGGCCCUUUAGUGCCGUUUCUGUAACCGGCAGUAAAGGGUGGGGACUAAAGCCACCCCCCUUUAGUACCGGUUCAACACGAACCGCCACUAAAGGGCCACCACGUGGCACGAGCCAGCGCCGGGGGCGGGAAGACCUUUAGUACCGGUUCGUAACACCAACCGGUACUAAAAAGUUUGGGUUUUUUUGUUUUAUUAUUUAUUUUUCCUUUAAUUUUGUGUGUUUCCAUUUAAUUUAGAGAUUGUUUUUACAUUAUAAUGAGUUAUUAAAUCACUAGGUGAAAGAAACCGCGGAUUAGUUUUAUGUGGAUGGAUCCUAAGUGAUCGAUAAUCCAUAUUACUUGAUCACUUAGGUAGGAUCCAUCCAGUUGAAACUAAUAUCCGCGAUUCUUUCAUAAUUGAUAUAUAUAACUCAUCAUCAUCAUCAUCAUCAUAUUAAUAUUAAAACUCUUGCAUCAUAUCAUCACCAACAACACUCUAGGUAAUCAUCAUCAUAGUCAUUACCACUAUUUAAUCAUCAUAGUCAUUACCGCUACACCACCAACACUAGCUUAAAGAAGAAACAUUCACUUGUACCAGAAGCAAAGAUACCAUCGAGUUCAACAUGGUCAUGAGAUUAUAAGCGUUCAUAAGACCACAAAAGCAAAUCACUUUGAGAUAGAUUAAUUUCAGGACGAAGAACAGGGACAUGAGAGGACAAGUACUAAGAGCAGGAACUAGCUAAUCACUCCUGCUGCUCUCUCUCGGGUAAAAUAGCAUAGAACAUGUGUAGCUCUCCUGAUUCAUCAUAUUGGAGCAUGCAGAUGAACCUGUCUCCUAAUCGUGGGUUGCGCUUCUGAUUGCUGCCCCCUAGUACUUCUCUGCGAUCGUUCACAAUUUUGCUCCAGUCUUUCACGAUUAAGCAUUCCUCGGUUUUAGAAAUCCUGAAUGCACUCAUGUGUGAUGUAGGAUGUCUUGGCCGUAAGCUAACCAUUGACAUGCGACCUUUAGUACCGAUCCAGUGAGGCACAACUAUCAUCAGGACUCCCUAUUGAAGAACAUCGUAUAGUAACAUACUUAGCAAUGAAGUUUAGCUUGAAAAAUAAUGUAUGCAAAAGAUGCACCGAGGACAAAUAGUAAAAAUAUUACCAUCUUUCCUAAAUAGAUGUGACCGUAGUUCAAUACGAACACAAUUGGUCACACGUUUUGAGUACUAAGAUUUUCAAAUUCAGGAAAAUAAUUUCUCUUAACAGCAUCAAGAUCCUCAAGCCAUGAAACAUAAUGACUUAUCUCCUCGCAGUUUAGUUCAGCCUCGGGACAGUUGACGGUCAUGUCUACCAAGCGCCGAACAUGUUUGCUUGAAUGGAAAUAAGCCGUUAAUAGAAAUUAGUUGUCAACUAUUUUUGAAUAAACAAUAUCGAAGACAUAAAUAUGGUUGAGAAACUCACAUAAUGGUAGAACUGGAGGCGUCUGCACAUCGACCAAAAUGUCUCUAUUACCUUCAAUAUCAUCUUCCGGACGAAUAUCAAAGGUGAUAACCAUAUCAGGCUCAAAUGCAUAAGCCUUGCAUAGUGCUUGCCAAAUUUUGCAUUCAAAAUAUGUGUAGGUGUCUGCAUUAUAUAAUUUGACGUUGAAAGUAUAACCAUGAUUGGUCUUCAAGUAAACUAUCUUUACCUCCAUAGUUUUCUUAAGAUUGAAACCUAUCUUAUCCAAGACAAAAAUUCUUGCAUGGCAGGGGAUACGCUAGUAGAAUAGUAAAAAUUUAAAAUUAUAAGUUGAAGCAAAUGAAGUAUAAGUCAUGCUUAAUUAUGAAAAAAGACUUGUCAUUGUGACUUACUGUAUCCACUUCGAAGGUCUCAUCUAGCUUGAUGCUGAAGCGCCUAUCAUCAAGUAGGAAAUUUCUGUCGCACAGGACGCGCUCGUCUUCGCAGUAUUCGCACAUACCGAAAUCGUUUUCGUCGUCAGACGAUAUUUCCUAUGUUCAUAGUUGAAACAUUAAUUGAUAAACACUUACUAGUUCUAUCAGUUCAACUAAUUCAACUAGUUCUAUUAAUUCAACUAUUCCUAUUAAUUCAACUAAUUAAGCACUUACUAAAAAUAAACUAGUUCUAUUAAUUUUGUUACUAAAAAUAAAGUAGCUAGUUAUAUACAGUAAACCUUUAAUUAGAUGAUCAAAUCUCAUAUACCNNNNNNNNNNNNNNNNNNNNNNNNNNNNNNNNNNNNNNNNNNNNNNNNNNNNNNNNNNNNNNNNNNNNNNNNNNNNNNNNNNNNNNNNNNNNNNNNNNNNNNNNNNNNNNNNNNNNNNNNNNNNNNNNNNNNNNNNNNNNNNNNNNNNNNNNNNNNNNNNNNNNNNNNNNNNNNNNNNNNNNNNNNNNNNNNNNNNNNNNNNNNNNNNNNNNNNNNNNNNNNNNNNNNNNNNNNNNNNNNNNNNNNNNNNNNNNNNNNNNNNNNNNNNNNNNNNNNNNNNNNNNNNNNNNNNNNNNNNNNNNNNNNNNNNNNNNNNNNNNNNNNNNNNNNNNNNNNNNNNNNNNNNNNNNNNNNNNNNNNNNNNNNNNNNNNNNNNNNNNNNNNNNNNNNNNNNNNNNNNNNNNNNNNNNNNNNNNNGACGGGCCGGGGGCAGCGCGCGCGAUUGACGAAUGGGGACGGGCGUGCGCGACGGGGGCGGCGACGAGGACGGGGACUGCGAUGGCGACGGGGACGGGGACGGGCGCGCACGACGGGGGCGGCGACGAGGACGGGGACGGGCACGCGCGAUGGGGGCGGCGACGGGGACGGGCGCGACGACGACGCAGAUGAAGAAGAAAUUAACGUAAAUUUUCGUAAGCGCUAUAUAUAUAGGAGGGGCCUUUAGUACCAGUUGUAGCCACCAACCGGUACUAAAGGUCAAAUUUGGCCAGGCCAAACGGCGGGAAGGGCACCCCUUUAGUACCGGGUGGUGGCUCCAACUGAUACUAAAGACCACCCCCCUUUAGGGGAUACGCUAGUACUAAAUUUGGAGCCACUAACUGAUACUAAAGGUGUGCGCUGGCGCAGGUGCGGUGCGGCAAGUUUAGUUCCACCUCGCUAGCCGAGGAGCGUCCGCACUGGUUUAUAAGCCCCAGUGCGGUAGCUCUCUCGAGCUCCUCUCUAUAGCAGGCUUCUGGGCAUAACUUUGCCGCGCUGCCCUGUGGGCCUGCUGGGCCUUACGGGCCUGCAUCCAUGCCCAAGGCCAAGCAGGCCCACUGGGCAGCGCGCAAAUUUGUUUUUUUAUAUUUUUUCUUUCUUACUUUAUUUAGUUUCUUUUAUUUAUUUCUGAGUUGUUUUUUUGCUGUAUUUAGAGUUUCUUUGUGAAUAUUUUUGCUUUAGGUACAAAAAAUUAGAAACUUUCUGUUAGUGCCAGUAGUUUUCAAAUUUGAAUAGUUUAAAUUUGAAUUAUUUAAAAUUUGUGUGAAUCACUAGUUUGUCAAUAACUUAACUUUAAAAAUAGAAUUUUUAGUGAUUCUUUUUUCUUAUGUUUAAUAUUAGUGUGUUUUAUCAUUAUAUUCAAAUUGAUAAUAUGUCUGGAGUUGUAAUAAGUUAAAAAAAUGAAGUGCCUUUGUGACAGAUAAGUUUUCGUCCGAAACACUGAUACUUCGAAAGAGAUUGUCCAGUUUGUACACGAAGUGCAUCCAGUUUUUGCCGUAAGCCUCUCUACUUUUUUGCACAUGCUAUGUGGGUGAAAUGAUGAUACCAUGCCAAGUUUCAACAUUUUCAGAGUUAAUUUGUAGUGCUUUUCAAUUUCAAGGUCAUUUAGCUCAAAACAAAUCAGUAAAUGCAUGAAAAAUAACAAACGAUGUCAGAAAGGGUUGAAAGUUGAUGACGUGGCUUUGAAUGGUGCAUACUGAAUGCAAAAAAAGUCUGGAGUUGUAAUAAGUUAAAAAAAUGAAGUGCCAGCCUUUGUAACAGAUGAGUUUUCGUCUAACAGAUUGUGUAAACAUGUAAAAAUGUAAAAAUAUAAAUAAAAAACAUUGAUCAGUAGCGCCUUUCAGCCAAAACGCGCUACUGCUAUGUGUAAACAUGUAAAAAUAUACAUCAAAAAUACAUUGAUCAUUAAUGAUCUUUUUUGUAGAAUCUGAAUUGUCAAUAAGAAUCUUCCCCGGUUUAAGAACCGAUGAAGAUUCCUAUUGCGGCCACAGAUCCUACACAUAGAGUUCAAUGAAGACCAAUUGGUUGUGAUAGUUUGAGAAGUAACAUAUUUAAGGUGGUAAAAACCCUGUUAGCGGAGCAAGGUGGGACUAAAAAACCGUUGCAUGGCGAAUCAACUAAAAAACUUUACUACCGGUUUGUGGCAUGAACCGGUACUAAAGGGGCUGGCGGGGCCCAGCCUGCCAACAGCCUGCCACAGCCUCUUUAGUACCGGUUGGUGCCACGAACCGGUACUAAAGAUUUGUCACGAACCGGUACUAAUGAGCGCUGCCCGCCUAGCCGUUGGAACCGGCACUAAUGGUCACAUUAGUGCCGGUUCAGCUACAAACCGAGACUAAUGUACUUCACAUUAGGCCAUUUUUCGACUAGUGUAACUCCACACACUUGGACUACCGACCAUUCAAACAUGAUGAGAAACUUGUUAGGUUCCUACAUAAGAAUAUAAGAUCUGUAGUGACUGUAAAAUGCAUAAGCAGGACACAUCGAAUAAUUGGAUUCUUAGAAAGAUCAUGAAAAAUUCCUGCUUCAAAUUUGAUUAUGUGCAACACUCCAUCGCCGCAGCUUGGAGCUCACUAUAAAAGCCCCCAAGGCCAGCUAGAAGGCACACCGGCUCACCGACCAGACCACUUCACUCCACAAACAAAUGGCGAUGACUCAUGAAGAAGAGAUCUCCGAGCUGGCUACCAAGGUAACCGUCUACGUGCUCUGCGUGGCCGCCCUCCUCGCCUUUGCCGUGGACCAUGCCUGCGCCCACGGCUGGGGCUGCACCGUGGCCCAUGUCCUGUCGAAGAUACCGGACUAUCUAGCCAUACUCGUCCCGCUUUUCUUGCCGCCGGCGAUCCAGCUCUUCUUCCUCCGCGCCGCCGGCAAGGUAUGUACUCGUCACUCACUCUUUUCCAUGCCUCUCUGUUCCAUGGUUUUUGUUAGAAUAAAUUCAAGGCGUACCGUUAAUCAUCUGAGGCCAAGUAAUCACACGAGCACGAUACCGAGAUUUGUUAACGAGGUUCACCGAUAUGGCUACAUCCCCGGGCUUGACUACGGGCGCUCCUCCUCGUGACACCGUCACAAUACCGCACACCGGCCAUCCGGGCGCCGCACACGCCGCCGGCUCCCCCUUGCGCGCCUGUGCUAUUAUGUUGGCAUAGGUUACAUCGUGUGUCUACCCCCGCUAUAUAUGAGAGGCCUAGGAUACAAGUGUCCUACUAGGACACGACUUCAUAUCCUAUGUAAACACAAUACUACUCAGAGUCCAACUAUAACUUACCUUGUACACAAUAUUCGACACAACUCUAACAAACUUCACCUUGGCGAAUAUUUUCCACCACCUUGAAUUCGCCCAUGCGUCAAACUUCCAUGUACAUUGGACUUGAGCUUAUCCCAUGAGCACCGCUGCUACUCCAAAGACUCCAUAUUACUCCACCUACAACUUGUAGUCCCUCCUGAUCAUAGUCAACACUCGAGCAAAUUUAAGUUCCUUGUUAUUCUAGUUUGUGCUCCCAACUUCCAGAGUAUCCGUCCAAUGCCAUCACACAUCGAUCACUGACCCGCGUGAAAGUAAACAACUCACAUAUUGGGUGUCACACAUAAGAGUUACCUGAACUCAACAUCACCGCUCUUCCUUGACCGCCGGUCUGAAACUUGAAGGAAUUUCACCAUUGCUUCUAGUCAUUCCGAGUCAAAUUCGCAGUUGUCUCACCACAUGUAUGACCACCAGAGCCCUGGUCCGUCUCCAUGUCCCGUGCAUACCGCACGCCUCGCCGCUAUUACCUCGUCGAGCUUCCGCUGUCCCGGUCGAGUCUCAAGGGUCGGGAAACCACACCACUCAACCCCACUGCAGAGUACCACCGAUCAUCACCGACCGAUGACGAGUUUCACGCUUUCAUCAGACCACUGGGCUCCAGUCCGAAUUACGUGUCCCUCGCUUUUCCCCCUUACUGAAUAGGCUUCGAUUCCAUGGAUCAUUACAUCGUAGCCCCUCAAUCCAGCUCCACCUUCAACAUGACUCCAUGGUAGAAGAUCAGUCCACCCUCGCGCCCCGUCAACUUCAAGCUCACAUGUGCACCGUCUUGAAUCAACCCCGCGCCAUAGUCUUGUCGAAGCCACACAAGCCCACAGACCUGUGCCACGUGUUUCCAUGCCCCAGAAGUCGAUCACCAUCAGCAUCACGCUCCUAUGUCGUCGUCGCCGAUCCCACCACCGUCUUUUGUUCCAACCGACUUGCGUCGAUCCGUCAGACUGUCUUGUCCGACCCAGCCGAACAUAUCCGACUGCAACCAUGCUCCACCCUGCACCAUGACUGCACGCACAUCUGUGCAUGUCUUGGACGCCAUGCGUAUGCAUGAUCUUCACAAUGCACUUCGAGGCUCAUCUGAACCAUAUAUGCACGUCGCCAAUCUGCUAAACUCCUGGUAAAACACCAUACGCAAUUUGCAAUACAUCAGAAAACUGCUUCCAGGGAAGCUCUCGUGACUGUACCAAGUGUGCCGCCACACCUCCCAAUGCUCCUUUUCUGAAUCCAAUUGUUGUCCAUGCUAACGUCAAUUACCAUAGUGUUGCAGAUUGCCCCUUUUUUCUCAAACAAAUCUCCGGUCCACCGCAACAACGUGCGUACAGCAGCCCCUGCACCCGUCCAACUUCCUGUACGUGCACAUAGGGCUGCAAACGAGUCGUGUUCGAGCGAGUUGGCCUAGGCUCAGCUCAACUCAUACUAAAAUUCGAGCGAGCUCAAAAUGUGCGAAGCUCAAGGUCGAGCUACAGAAAGUGGCUCUUGCUCAGCUUGUAACGAUCUCGAGUCGAUCUCGAGCUAGUUUCGAGCUAAAUAAGAUGAUUUUUAAAAUCAUUUAAGGUAAAUUUUAAAGAAAGAUAGGCCACAACAAAACAGAAAAAUCACUAUAAUUUUGACUUAUUCUUUCUCAAGUGAAGACUAGUAUUUAACAACAAGAGAUCAUAGAUAGAAGGCGGCGAAGGUGCACCAGCUCUGAAACUUUGACCAAAAUAACAAGAUAUUGAACACACGGUUGGCCACGUGAUGAGAAUAAAUUUUCUUCAUGCUUAAUUUCCAUGUUUGCUAGUAGGUAAAGUGAAGAAAAAAAAUCGUACAUAACAUAUAUGGAAAUGAAUGAUCCUAAUUCUUGGCAAUAGAUAUGAAGGUUAUUUAAUAUACUUAUAUGAUAUCGAGAUAUCGAGCUAAAAUCGAGCGAGCCAAUGCUGGCUCAAGAUCAGCUCGUUUCUCGAUCGAGCUAUAUAAAGUGUUCAUACUCAGCUCAUUUUUUUUCGAAUCGAUCUCGAGUCGAGCUAAAAUAUGAGUCAAUCUCGAGUGGCUCACGGGCCUCGAGCUUUUCUUGCAGCCCUACGUGCACACCAGCCGAUCCGCCUUGGUCACCCAGUCCCACGGCUGCUCAAGGGCCUAGCCCCCAAGCACGCACCACCAAUCCCCACUUGGGCCAGGCUCCCACGUCCUAAGCUGAUGCCCACGAGCCGUCUUGACAUCCUGUGACCGAACUCUCAUCGACUCCUACUUACGCUGCAAGAAAAGCUUGAGGCUUGUGAGCCGCUCGAGAUCGACUCGUUUUUUGGCUCGACUCGAGAUCGACUCGAAAAGAAAUGAGCUGAGUUUGAACACUUUAUGUAGCUCGACCGAGAAAUGCGCCAAUCUUGAGCUAAUACUGCCUCACUCGAUUUAAGCCCGAUAGCUCGACAUAAUACCAUUAUGUUAAAUGAUCACGCCAUAUAUUAAAUGGAAAUAAAAUAAUUUGUUACUACCAUAUAUGAUGUGCGUGAUUUUUCUCCCUUUUAUUUACGAGCAAACAUGGAAGCUUAAUUAAGUGUAGAGAAGAUUUAGGUUUAAUUAUGGUACGUGCUCGACUACGUCUUAAAUUUCCUAUUGUUUUGGACAAAAAUUUCCCAGCAUAUGCACCUUUGUUUUCUUGUUUUUUGUCCACAAAGACCAUCAUCUAUUGCUAGUUCUCCCAAGAGACCAAGAUGAGCCCUUGCCCUACAAAGUUGUGUCGUGUUGUGUCCUUUUCUAGUUUGAAUAAUCACCCUAGAUUUAUAAUUUUUACCGUCUCAUUUAGCUCGAAACUAGCUCGAGAUCGAUUCGAGAUCGUUACAAGCUGAGCACGAGUCAUGUUCUAGAGCUCGAUCUUGAGCUUCACUUAGUUUGAGCUCGCUCGAAUUUUAAUAUGAGUUGAGCCGAGCCAACUCCAACUCGCUCGAACUCGACUCGUUUGCAGCCCUACUCCUACUGCUGCACGAUUCGCGAAGAAUUCCGCGUGCUUCUGCUUACGUGACACGCCGCCGCCGCCGCUGCCUUUCGAUCUCGCCGAAACCGGCCACAUGCUCACUACUGGAAUCAACAGCUUUGCCAAGUGCCGUAAACACUCGGCGAAGGCCCAAAAAAACUCGGCAAAGCCUUUGCCGAGUGUUGCACUCGGCAAAGGACACUCGGCGUACAGCCUUUCGGCAAAUAGAAUUUCGCCGAGAACCAACCAUCGCGCACUCGGCAACGCCUUUGCCGAGCGUUUUUUGUGGUACUCGGCAAAUAUUGGGACUCGGUGAAACAUAACUAACGGACGACGGAAACGGCAAAAAUUGGUACAGUUGCACUCGGCAAAGGUGAUGGCUUUCUCGAGUUGUACACUCGGUAAAGAUGUUCAGCAAAAUUUAAAAAAAAACGCCGCCGUCAACGGCGACGUCGAUUCAUGCCAGCGAGUUACAGUGGCCCACAGCUCGCGAGUCACCACUCGUUGCGCUCUCCUCUGCCAAGCUAGCCUGUCCGCUGCUUGUGUGCUUGCUUGGCCGGUCCGUUGUUGGCUUGCCGGAGCGUGCGGGUGCUGCUGCUCAGCAAGAAGAUGCGUCUAUGCGAGAUGAGCCUGGCCGCCGCUCUUGGUGGCGCCGUCGACGACGCAUGUGGCUUGUGGCCUCCGUGGUUGUUGGUGCCGCCGCUCGCCGGCGUGUGGUUGGUGAGUUGUUGCCUUCCCGCCGCGUGCCGCUGCCGCUUGCAGCUGCCUCACAUCUGCUGCUUCGCUGCUACGUGCAUGAGGGAGCUUGGUGGCCGGCCGCCGGCGUACGUGCUGCUAGCUGCUGCUACUUUGCUGCUUGAGAGAUGGCAUGCGGGCGAGCCGGAGAACGAACGGUGCGCACCUGAAGCUGGAGGUGCUCAAGCACUACGCCGGCAGGCUGCUGCAGCUGCUCGAGUCCUCCGCCGGCGUGCUUCGAAUCUCCAUGGCUGUGUGCCUGUGUAUGGGAGUGUGGAUGUGUGAGACGGUGAGAGAGAUGAGAGGGACAGAAGAUAAGGUGUGUGUGGCUGUGCGUGGCAUGCAUGUGUGUUUGUGUUUGUUUGUGAUAGAGACGUGUGUGGUUCUGAUGCAUGGAGAGAAAGCAUGAGAUAUGAGAUGUGUGGUUGUCUGCUUGCCAUGUAAUCGAUCCGUGGCACUAGCUCCCAACCAAUCAGAGACAGGCACAUUUUACCGAGUGUUGCUCUCGGAAAAGACCUGGUAAAAAAAUGCAUAAAAUCAUUUAAAUUGUGGAAGUAGCUAAAAAACUAAAAAAUUCAUAAAACGUCGGAAUUAAGCAUAAUGUAAGGUCUACUUACUUGAAAGUUGGAGUGGUACCAUUUUGCACCUUGCUUUACAAAAAAUACCAUUUU